GCUCCAACAGCUUCCUUGAUUGGAACUCCUUCUUCUCCUCCUCAGGAAGUUCAAAAAACUUGUGGCACGCCUCGAUCAUUGAUUUCAUCAGGCUCUCAGGUACACCAUGGUUGAUCACCUGAAAGAAGCCCCAUUCCUGACAAGCUCUGCCUAGCUCUUCAAUGGCUUUGGACCGGAGUUCAGGGGAGCUUGAGGUGAGAUGGGCGAAAUCGAUGGUGGGGAUUGAGUGUUCUGGGGCGCUUGCAUCACCUUGAUCGUUGGGAUUCUUGACAUAGGUGUACUCCGACGGUACGGCGUUGAGUUCGGUGCCGGUAAGUGUCUUGAUGCUUGCUACUUUAGCAUCGUCGGCAACGUUGGCUGUUGUAGGUGCCAUUUGGGAGAGGUGAAACUAAAGUUUUGGAAUCAAAGAGAAUAGAAAUAGUGAGAAAGAAGGAAUCAAGUUUGGUAGUGAGGUCAGAUGAAUGUCUGGGUUGCUAUUUAUAGCCGAAAGAAGAAGGGUUUGCUCAAUCCACACGUGGAAAAAAAGGUUACGUUAGCUAUAUUUUAGUACAUAGUGCCGAACCCUUCACGGUAGAGGCCGGUAGCCAAAGCUGACCAAGUUUUUCUUGAUUGAUUCUAACAAAUGUGCAUGCCGAUGUCAGUAGAAGACCAUACAUGUGGAAUUUGCAAAUUGAUACCACCUUUUAACUUGUUACCCUUCCAUCAUUUUCAAGCUUCUUUGGUUUUUGGUCUCGCUUUCUUGGAAGAUCAAUGUGUCAAAAUCACACAUGUAGCCCCAUAUAGUGGAAUAAAACUUGACGAGGAAACAAACAAUGAGAAUAUAUGAAGCCUAUUCACAUACACUUGUUUUCGGAAUCAUAUAUACAAUACAACAUAAAUGUAAGACAUAUAUAUGCUACCGAAAAGAAAAUGCAAAACAUACUAAUAUAUUCUCUUCUUCAAUUUGUAUUUUAAAGUCCUCCAUACGCAUAAAUUGUGACUCAAAAUUAAAGUUUUCAAAAAACAUAUAAAAUUGCAAAGUAUUGUCUCACAUCAUAGAAAUAAGGAUUAAAGACUUAUAAUAUAGAUAUUCGGACGUCUCACAACGCUCACCGUAUAAUUACACAUGAAGCUAAAGUUUAGAUUUUCAAACACGUUGUGUAUGCCAAUUAAUUUUUAAUUCGGACAUGAUUUCUUCAUCUUUGGUAUAUUUUUUUAUAUGGUCUUGGUCUUCACUUAUGGAUUCUUCCAUACAGGCCAGGGAAUGCAGUCAUCACCUAAAGUCUUUAGUCUUUUCCUACGUAGGCUUCCGGCUUAGCUAAUAAGAGUUUUACUUGGGUUGUGGAGGAAAAACAUAAACUGAGUGAAUAAAUAAAUAAAUAUAUAUAUAUAUAUAUAUAUAUAUAUAUAUAUUAAGGACCUUUACGUAGUCUCUGAGAAAUAUAUCUGUGUGCUAGUUAGAUAUAAAAUAUGGUAAGACAACCAUAUGGUUGAUACAGGUACGUACAAUAGUCUUGGUCUAUGCAAAUUGUUAGUCAAGAAAUUAGACGCUUGUAAUUAAAGUGAUUCAAAUUUAACUGACUGCAUGAUCAAAAUAGCAGCUGAACAAGUUCCAAGUUCCAACUAGACAUGCAUAGUGAAUCUUCUAUUAUAAACCUCUCCAGGAUCUCCAUGCCUUCCAAAGCUAGGUUACCUUUGCGGCAAAGCAAAUAAAUUUGCAGAACCACUUAAUUUCAUAUAGAAAAGUAAACACUUCGCACAAAAGGAAGAUGUGGUCUGUAUUGGAGUCAAAGAUUCAAGAAUAGCUAGCGCUCCCAGCAGUGCAGACACACAAGAGGAUAAUCUAGUUUACAAUAAUAACGUCAAAAUUGCCCAUCAUUUGUAAUAAUCAAGACAAGUUUGAACGACAAAAAUUCAAAACAAGCCAGCCAAAGAAAAGCAUACAGAGACUAGAAUUCUAGAAUUGCGUAUGAAACUAGGAAUUCGUGUAAAACCUCUAGUUUACCUGAUGGACAGCUUUGUUUCUAUAUAUGCUUGCCAAUAUUGCAUGCAUUUGAAGCUCUAAUGUCAAGUAGUCCUUAUUAUCGAUAUAGACUUUGAGUACGUAGGUAAAGGGUUAGAAACCUAACGUACGUAUAUAGUAAUUUGCAUAUCAACAUUUACCGUUUUAAUAACAAUUAACAUCUUCAAAUUAUCCGUUUAUUUGUUUGAGACCUUCUUUAAGUUAUUAAUUAGUCUCUUAUAUAUGAAUAAAUUUUGAAUUUUUGAUAGAGCUAGCUAGAUUAUAAAAAUAUUAACCGUCCACAGUGGCUGAGCUACUCGAACACCAAAGGGUGUCACGGCACCCCUUACAUUUUAGCUUGUAAUGUAUAUGUAUUUCUUUAUCGUAAUUACAUGCAUAUGUAUAUGAGUUGGUUCAAAUGAGUACUUUUAUGUUUGGGUUUAUAACAUAUAUUGACACCCUCCUCAUUUGUAAUUUUUGACUCCGACCGCCACUGACCGUCCACUACAUUCUAUUAGUGUAAGGUUUGUGUACGUACUUCACAUUUCAUAAACUCCCCAAUAACCAAGGGUCAUGUUUGAUGGUAAUACUUUUACUCUUGAACCCCAGAACUCCAGAAGGAUGGGAUGUUGGACCUAAUAUCUCGAUCUCACCAUCACACUUCAAAGGUAUGUACAGUGUAAUGUGCUGCAUAUAUAUUAUCUGUUCAAAAUUUGUUUUAGGAUUGAACAGUCCUCUCUAUCCAAACUUAGAACUGAGCAUGUUUUUCAAUAUGGAAAUAUUGAGUUGUGAUUUAAGAAGAAAAAUAAUCCACAAAUGAAAUAUGUCUUAAAAUGUGAUUCAUGGCUUUCCUAAUAAGUGACAAGGUAAGUUAUUUGUUCCAUUAAUUGAUAUGGUUCACCUCCGUAUUUCGUUACGAUCGCAUUUUCAUCUCUCGCUUUAUUAGACUAUGCCUGGGGAAGAAUCAGUCCUCCUCAUCCUCAACUGCGGACUCCCAAGUACUUUUUAAUUUAGAACAAAGCAAGUCCACAACCACAUCAGGAGCAAUAACAUGGCCGUCCGGUGAUCAAGGACUUCGUCGUGAAGGUACAUCUGAAGACGUUAAUAUUAAUUUUCAUGUCCAUCUUCUGGUGAUCGAGGACUUCGUCGGUGAACGUACAUCUAAAAAUGUUCGUUAAUCGACAAGCAGAAUAGUUCGCUGAAUUUUUUUUUUUAUCUAAAUAUGAUUGAUUCGAAUCAUAUGUACAAAACCCUAAUGAACCCUUGUUGGACACACUUGUGUGUGUCUAUAUAUAUAGUUCAUAUCCCGAAACUUCAAUUCGCUAUGAAAAUAAAAUGUGAAGUUCCUUAUUUGACUCACUUUUUCGUCAUAUUUCUACAUCUCCACCUUUCAGUUUAUAGAAUCUUAUGCAUAGAUCACUUAUGCAAAGUUUCAUCUAAUUUGAUGAUCGUUUAGGUUUACUUAAAAGUUAUUUACACAAACAGUUAUAGUUAGACAAAUUUAUAGUCCGUUCAUUCAUUUGAUCUAAUUCAGUAACCAAACGAUUAUUAAUCUUGAUAUAUAUAUAUAUANNNNNNNNNNNNNNNNNNNNNNNNNNNNNNNNNNNNNNNNNNNNNNNNNNNNNNNNNNNNNNNNNNNNNNNNNNNNNNNNNNNNNNNNNNNNNNNNNNNNNNNNNNNNNNNNNNNNNNNNNNNNNNNNNNNNNNNNNNNNNNNNNNNNNNNNNNNNNNNNNNNNNNNNNNNNNNNNNNNNNNNNNNNNNNNNNNNNNNNNNNNNNNNNNNNNNNNNNNNNNNNNNNNNNNNNNNNNNNNNNNNNNNNNNNNNNNNNNNNNNNNNNNNNNNNNNNNNNNNNNNNNNNNNNNNNNNNNNNNNNNNNNNNNNNNNNNNNNNNNNNNNNNNNNNNNNNNNNNNNNNNNNNNNNNNNNNNNNNNNNNNNNNNNNNNNNNNNNNNNNNNNNNNNNNNNNNNNNNNNNNNNNNNNNNNNNNNNNNNNNNNNNNNNNNNNNNNNNNNNNNNNNNNNNNNNNNNNNNNNNNNNNNNNNNNNNNNNNNNNNNNNNNNNNNNNNNNNNNNNNNNNNNNNNNNNNNNNNNNNNNNNNGUAUAUAUAUAUAUAUAUAUAUAUAUAUAUAUAUAUGUAUCAUUUAGGUUGAUUGUUCGGGUAUCUCGUGUUUCUGAAAUGAACAUAACAUUGUAAUUUUUGAGAAAUAUUUGCCCCUCCUAGAAUGUCUUAAAACCUCUUGAGAAUUUUUAUGAAGUGUGUGAGCUAGCUAUCAAAUUUGAAAACACACGAUCUUAAUUAUAGUUUUGGGUUCAAGCUAGUCGGUGCAAAUGUUUUUAUUUCGUGUCAAUUUAAAAAAAAAAAAUUUAAUAAAUCACACACCUUACAUAUGUUUAGUGAGAUUUGAACCCAUGACCUCAAAAUUGUUAGUGAGUUUUUAUUUCGUGUCGUUUAUGCACGGAUUGUACUUGAGAAUGUUGUGCUAUAUGAUGGUUGAUAUAUAAUUAAUGUGAUAAUUAGUGUCAAAGGUGAUAAUUAGUGCGUUUGUGGGAGGAUUGAAAGAUGCAAAAGAUGAGCUCUCGAUCAGGCAAGAGUCUAAUUAGUGUGUUUGUGUUGGAUUAUUUCUUGUAUGGUGGGAUUAGUGGAUUAUCUACUGAUAUAGUGCGCGUACUGGCUGUUACCUCAUUAGAGGAUUUUAUUUCAAUAUAUUUCAUGUUAUGUUUUGUGUGUAAUUAAUUUAUUUUUGCUAUUCAUAUAUAUUGAAUAAUUGUAAAGAGUAAUGAAGCGGCACAACGCAGUUGUACAUUAUGAAGAUACAAGACAACUCAUACAAGCAUAUAAUUAAUUCGAACUCAUGUUACAUGGAUCUGUUGUAUUACAUAUAUAAUCUGAUAGAAUCCGGCGUUUAAUACUGAAUUAAAAGACAGAAUCUGACAACAAGAUCACUAGAGAUCCCCGUAGGAAAAAAAUAAAAUUAACUGAUCUGCUACACCGUUGGAGCACCAACGCUCAUACAGGAGCAUUAUUACUGUUGUGAGAUAGAGGAAGUGAUGAUGGAGGCAUGGAGCUGUGAGUUGGAUAGCAAGGGCAAGCUUUGGGCUUGGUUCACUCGGCCUUGACUCGCAGGUGAUCUAAACAAGGCAUCAUGUACGCCGCCGGACUGGCCUGAAGUUCCAUGAACUCUUCAUAUGACAUUCCGAUGUAUUUUGGUGCUUCACCGCCCAACAACUCCGGGAUUGGAAGAGCAGCAGUGUCAAGUGCAGGUCCAUGUGGUACAGCUAUGGAGAUCCUUGUAGCUCUGUUGUUCACAACAGCCCGAUGCCAGACGCUCUUGUACUUAUCAUUAGUCAAUAUCUGCAUUUGAUCACCAAUGUUAACAACAAAAGCACCCGGAGCACAAUCAACGAGCACCCACUUCCCGUUGUGCUGGACUUCAAGGCCUCCCAUAUCAUUCUGAAUAAGAAGAGUCACAAGUCCGUGAUCGGUGUGAGGGGGGAUUCCGAUGGCUAGGUCGGGCUGUGGACACGCCGGAUAGUAGUUAGCGGCGAGGAUUUGCAUGCCACGGUCCCAGUUCAUGGCCUUGGCUAUGUACUCAGCCUCCAACCCCAAGCUCUCAGAUAUUCCGCUCAACAAUUCGGUAGCAACUUGUCGAGUUUGUUUGCUGAACUCGAAUGAAACGUCGCUGUACUCAGCGGGCUUGUGGAGUGAGUGGAACUCCGGGUGUGCUAUGACCUUGAGGUAAUCCCUCCACAGACGAACCUUGUCGAUCGCAACGUUAAAGCUUGUCCCGCACUUGAUUGGUUCCAAAAGCUUCCUUGAUUGGAACUCCUUCUUCUCCUCCUCAGGAAGCUGAAAAAACUUGUGGCACGCCUCUAUCAUCGAUUUCAUCAGGCUCUCAGGUACACCAUGGUUGAUAACCUAAUCAAGAAAAAACUACUAUCAGCUACCGGCCUUCAUUUUGCUAUAUAUUUCCACAUAUAUUACUAGCUUUUGUAGUAAGAAAACUAUCUUCAUGUAUAUAUACCUGAAAGAAUCCCCAUUCCUCGCAAGCUUUCCCAAGCUUUUCAAUGGCGUCGGCACGGAGUUUUGGGUUGCUGGAGGUGAGAUGGGCGAAAUCGAUGGUGGGGAUAGAGUGUUCUGGGUCACUGGCAUCGGCUUGAUCGUUGGGGUCCUUGACGUAGGUGUACUCCGAUGGUACGGAGUUGAGUUCAGCCCCGGUGUCGGUAAGUGUCUUGAUGCUUGCUACUUUGGUUUCGUCGGCGACGGCGGUUGUUGUAGGUGCCAUUUGGGAGAGGCCGGGAAAAGAGAAAGAGACCUGAGUGUUUGGUUAGGACUGAUGGAAUGAGAGAGAAUGAUAUGAGUUUAGUUGUUGUGUAGGUUUGAAGAAAGAUCGAGUUGCUAUUUAUAGCGCCAGGAAGGAGAGCUCAAUUUUUCAACGUGGAGAAAUGCAUUUUGAUGAUGUUAUUUAUUUUAGUGUCGAACUUCGAAGGUGGGUGACUGGGUGUGUAGGCCGACGGCCACUGCUGACCAUGUUUCGAAUAGUAAUUGUCAAAGAAAGCCAGCCAGCUGGGACAGGCUUAUAUGGAUCAAGAUUCUUUUAGUGCUAUAAAUCCAUACUAAAGAAUAAAUCUUAAAAUUAAUCCGAUAUGAUAAUCAUAGUGACAAAACAAGAAGGAUCAAAAAAAAAAAAAACAACAAGAAUUAAUUUAACCUGCUUGUAAGCUUGUUUGAUUGGUUGCUUCCAAGAUUGGCACAUAUACAUAUGACUGGAAAUUUGAUGUGCUAUUCCUAGCAGGUUCCUAAUGAUCUGCCUCAUGAAUUAAUUAGCUAGAAUUAUGCUACUAAUAUCUUAUUCUUGUUACACUCGUCAUUUUAUUUAAUUAUGAAAUCAUUUUUUUAUUUUGGAAAGAAAUAUUAUGAAAUCAUUAAUUAGAUUUACUAAUACUUGAUUGCAGAUAGAGAAAAUGAAAGGAAAAAAAUCUGCCAAUAUAGAAUUGUUUUUCAGACAACGAAUGUGCAAUCCAAUUCACAAUUAGCUAAAAGAUCAACGAAAUCCAAGUCAACUCUCAAGAAACUAUCUAUCAAUUUAAUGAUGUUAGUCCGUCCCGGAGCAGAACUAGGGAUUAUAACUUUGGGUCAGCAUGCAUCUUACCACACGCUUGAACUGAUUUUCUGACUAGAAAACCCUAAGCGGCUGGUGUUUCAUCCUCUUACUAUAGUUAUCACAUGAAAUUCAGUGUUUGUGGUUUAUGAAAAAAACUUGUUCUUUGUGAUCGACCAAGCAGAUUACGCCUUUGUAUAAUCUUCACUUGAAAUUCAUCAAUAGCAUGGAACACAUUAGCAAAUAAAAGUGGUUGGAUUACACUAUCAUUCACAUCUCUACCAAAAUUAAUUUCCUCCACUAUCCUAUAGACAAUAUGCAUCCCACCAAAAGCUUACCCUACAGGCCUACAUGACAUCUUGUGUGACUAUACAUGAUCGAGCUAGACACAUCCCUAAAAUGAACUCUAGCAUAAGUAGUGGUUCAUCUAGCAUUAUAUAUAUUGCAAUUACUCAUCUAUAUAUUAGAGUAGUUUUCUUGUUAUUGAUUUAUAUAUAGCUUGCCAUCAUGUUAAAAAAUGUAUACUAUAAUUCAUGUCAAAAAGAGAACGACUUAUGCAUGACUAUAGCAUAUUACAUGAUGAGAAAUUAAACCAAUACCAUGCAUACAUGAAAAACAUUGCUCACUUUCAUGAUUUUUUUGUUUAGUGGAUCUUUAGAGAUCGGUGUCUUUCUGUUACAAUGGACUUAAUUUAUUGGUCUUCUCCGCAGUUUCUUCCCUACAGGAAAAUGCAGAUGAGUGAUGACCUCAAUUACCAAAUUUCUCUUAGCAAUCUUUACGUGUCGGCAAUGGCCGUUCCAAGACAACCAAAUUUCUUUCACCUUUAUGAAGUCGGUUCUGUUUCCGAGUGCUAUGUUUAGGGUUUCCAUGCAAGAGUACAACUGCAAGAUUAUAUUUAGGGCUCAGAUGUGAUGUGCAUGUAUGGAAAGACAAACAAAUGGUUGGUAGAAAGUAGGUCGAUGUUGUUCGAUAUCUUGGGGAAGUUUUUGCCACAUCGUUAAUGUGGUCAAGAGUUCAUACAUAUGCUAGUGAUACAAAUUUGACUCUGGAGCUCACUCUUUCAUUUCCGUCGUGUCUUUCACUAUCACUUAAGUAGCAGCACCAGAACGGCAGAACCAGUACGUACACACACAGCAGUACUGCUGAUCGAGUUAGCUAGCUAGCUUAGCUAGAACACCCCCGUGUCCAGUAAGGUCAAUAAUUUCCCGUCGUUUGAUAAUGAUUAAACCCACUUUGAUCCACAAUAUUCAAACCAAGCCAGCCAAGGAAAAGCAUAUACAAAUAUAUGGACGAACACUAUCGAAAAUAUCUAUCUUCUAGAAUCAAGAGAGUUUUAACAUUUGUGAGUACUUAAAUCACUAGCGCCCAGUGCCAUCCUAGCUACUUGUUUACAGGUUGGUGCAGAUGCUCGUGUAGUACGUGCCAAAGCCAUCCCAAAUAAUCAAAUUGAUUAUGAUCCUAAAACAAGCAUUAUUUGUUUGGGUUUGAAGAUUCCGAAUUCCCGACGGAUCAGGGAAUUCUUAUAAACAAUUCCCGGAUCUUAAAGUAAUCUCUACGAUGACGAAGAAAAUUCGUAUGAUUGGAAUUUGGAUAUAGAUAGAUAUACAAAAUACUGAGUCAAACUUUGGGACUUGAUUUCCUUUUCGGUUUGACAUUCAAAAUAGAUACAAAACAGGGUUCUUAAGCUUAGUUUGAUAUUGUGGUUUAAAAUCUUAAUUUUUUAAAAAUUUAGUUUUAAAUAAGCAACCUCCAGCUUGCUUUCUAAAAGCAUCUUCAGCGGUAUUGCUAAAUCAAAUUUUUUUUGAAAUUUGACAACUUUUCGAAUGAAUAGGAGCUUCAACAGUAUACCUAAAUGGUUGCUAAAUUUAAUGAUUGCUAAACAAAAUUGAUAAAUUUGUCAACUGAGCCAUGAAUUGCUAAAUGAAUACUUAUAUUUUCCUUUUUUUUUCUUCCACGUGUCAAUUUAUAAUUCGUUAAAAAUAUUACUUAACUUACACUUAGCAAUAACUGCUUGAGCCAAAUUCUUAUAACAAUUGCUAAAUCUCAUAAUUAUUGCUAAAUUUAACUAUAGGUUUAGUUACACUGCCAAAUUCUUUAUCGUGGUUAUUUAAACUAAAAAGUUCUACAUAAACGCGUUUUAAGAUUUUACCAAAUAGAAAAUUUAUCUAAAAUGGUGAUUAUAAGUGAUUUUAAUCCCCAAAACUCAAUACCAAACUAGGUCUAAGUAGUUCAAGAAUUUAGCCAAGGGGUGAUCAUUGAAUGGAAUCAAUGGAUAAUGUCAUGGUUUCCUGUCUUAGCUAGGCUAAGUCUACCCCACAUGUUUUUAUUGGCUGGUCACCCCAAUUUGGUCAGUUUGGUUUUCAAUUUUAUACGUAGAAUGAGAUAUAUACAGAGCAAAUAAGAAGAUUCGGAAGUGUCUUUUGGGGUUUGGUUCAAGGGGUGAGUUAGAUAAUUUAGUUAGAAAUUGUCAAACAUAUUUUCCUCCAACGAAACUUAUGCAUAAAACACGAAUUUGAUCCCUAACUUGCUCGUAGUUGUAAUCCUUUGUUGGUGUUGUGUGAUUGUUUUAUAAUUGCAGUUUAUUGAAUGAAAUUUUUCUUUAAUAAAAAAAAUAAAUUUGAUCAAAAAUGAGAUAUAUAAUAAUACUUCGGAAAAUAAAGAUGAAAAGUUUAUGAUCUAAAUAACAUUUAACCAAUGUAAAUAUUGUAAGUUCGACUCACAAAAUUUAAUAUUUAAUAAUAAAAAAACUAAUUCGAUCAAAAAUGAGAUAUAUAAUAAUACUUCGGAAAAUAAAGAUGAAAAAUUUAUGAUCUAAAUAACAUUUGACCAAUAUUGUAAAUGUUGUAAGUUCGACUCACGAAAUUGUAAUAUUUGAGUUGUUUAUCUAAGAAAAAAAAACAUUUGACCAAAGUAAAUCAACAGUUGUAAAAAAUGAGGCAGAGUUUUUACUUGCUAGAUCAUGCAUGGUUUUUAAUGAGGUCACAUUUAAUCCCUUGGGAUGUAAUAUCCAACAGCUUAUUAAUAAAAUUUAUUUUUGAUAAAGAAAAAAUCAACAGUUGCCAAAAAUCAUCUUUGUUAUGGACAGUAAUGUUGAAGUUGUUACAUAUGUUAUAUUAAUGAUAGUUAAACUGAAAUUCUUCAUAUCUAAUCACCUCCAUGUACUAGAUUUUGUAACUGAAGCCUCUAUAUUUUAGUUAAUUAGAAACCAAAACGAAGGCCACUGUACUUAACAACCUAGCUCUAAUUAGGACUAGAACCGGUCAUUAAUAGAAAUAAAUGCAAACUAGAUCUUUAAUCACCAGCCCGGUUGCAGCUCUUGAAAUUCAUUUUCAAGAAAUAUUUGACAUGCAAUCGUUUAAAACAUAUCUUGAAAGCUUUAACAAAAAUAAACCUAGUAAUAUUAAAGUUAAACUACUGCAUAUAAAAUGUUCGCAACAGAACUAAAAGACCGCUACAUAUAUGAACAUCAUCAUCAGUUUAGUCGAUCAAAAAUUGUAGUCUUUAAACUAUUAGUGUAAACAAAGCAAUUUGUAGGUGUACGUUGUUAUGUUAAUGUAAAUUUGACUCGUUAUUUAGUCUUUAAACUAACUAAAUAUAACAAGUUGCAUAUUUAUUCUGCUGUUUUAAAAAUCUCUUUCAAUUGAUUGCAUCACAGCUUUUGUUAUGCUAAAACCUACGUAAGUCUUAUAUGUCAUCUCCACAUUCUAAAUCUUAUAAAUUCCCUUCGAUAGUUGGUUACAUUUUGUUCACCCAUGCCACCUGAUCUACAUUUGGAGAAAAACAACUUUAAACCAUCACAUAAAGCCCCCCCGACAACUAAUGUGACAUAUUUACUAUAUUAUUAUAGCGCCUGACGCGGUACUGUUCCCGUGAACAGUGACAGUUGGGUUUGGGCUUUUUUUCUCUCCUUGGGCUUUUGGGCCUGCGUCUCGCCGUUUUCUCAUUCUUUUUCUUGCUCUCUCUCGAUCUCUCUCGAAACUCCACCGAAUCGUUUUUUCUUCGUCUCUAUGCGUCCUCUCCCUCUUCUUCGUUCCUGCCCUUUUCGAAAGGAGAAGAGAGAUCGCUUCCUCAACUCUUUUCUUUCUCGCUUUCGUUCUUCAAACUCAACCAAAUCUCUUGAUUUAGAUUCAGACUCUUUCACCGUUCUGAAGUUUUCUGUUGGAAACGAAUAAGAGUAGGUACUGUGUUCUGAAUCCUUAUCUGCGACGUUUGUUAUAGUUUUUGGGAUUUUGGAUCUUCGAUUUGGUACAUGAUUAUGAGAUAUUUAGAUAUCUCGACAUCUAUUGGUUUUGUUGUUUUCAUUGAUCUUCAGCAGAUUUGAUUCUGACACCUCAAGGUCGAUUGGAUUGGUUUCAAGCUAGGAUCUCAGUGAAUUUGAUCUUUCCAGGUAAAGAAUUUGAUAUUUUCAACUUUUUCUCAUAACUGGGUUUGGACAUUUCUUCUGUUUCUCAAGGAUGCGUAUGGGUGUGUUGGGUUCUUUCUCUGUUUUGCUUGCAUGUGCCGAUGGUUUGAUUGGGAUCUUAAUAUGCUAUUAAGAGUAUUUCCCUUUAUUACAACAGGAUAACCAAUUUCAUUGGCAGCAUAUAUAUAUAUAUACAAUACUGAACCUAUAAUCAUAUGACAUGGAAAUUUUUAUCCUUCUUUUCAGGUUGAGUUGAGUUUCGCAGUCAAGCUAGCUGAUUGUAUUGUUAAUAUAUCAACUUUGAAAAGGUACUUUAACUCCAUUAGGCUCUACUGNNNNNNNNNNNNNNNNNNNNNNNNNNNNNNNNNNNNNNNNNNNNNNNNNNNNNNNNNNNNNNNNNNNNNNNNNNNNNNNNNNNNNNNNNNNNNNNNNNNNNNNNNNNNNNNNNNNNNNNNNNNNNNNNNNNNNNNNNNNNNNNNNNNNNNNNNNNNNNNNNNNNNNNNNNNNNNNNNNNNNNNNNNNNNNNNNNNNNNNNNNNNNNNNNNNNNNNNNNNNNNNNNNNNNNNNNNNNNNNNNNNNNNNNNNNNNNNNNNNNNNNNNNNNNNNNNNNNNNNNNNNNNNNNNNNNNNNNNNNNNNNNNNNNNNNNNNNNNNNNNNNNNNNNNNNNNNNNNNNNNNNNNNNNNNNNNNNNNNNNNNNNNNNNNNNNNNNNNNNNNNNNNNNNNNNNNNNNNNNNNNNNNNNNNNNNNNNNNNNNNNNNNNNNNNNNNNNNNNNNNNNNNNNNNNNNNNNNNNNNNNNNNNNNNNNNNNNNNNNNNNNNNNNNNNNNNNNNNNNNNNNNNNNNNNNNNNNNNNNNNNNNNNNNNNNNNNNNNNNNNNNNNNNNNNNNNNNNNNNNNNNNNNNNNNNNNNNNNNNNNNNNNNNNNNNNNNNNNNNNNNNNNNNNNNNNNNNNNNNNNNNNNNNNNNNNNNNNNNNNNNNNNNNNNNNNNNNNNNNNNNNNNNNNNNNNNNNNNNNNNNNNNNNNNNNNNNNNNNNNNNNNNNNNNNNNNNNNNNNNNNNNNNNNNNNNNNNNNNNNNNNNNNNNNNNNNNNNNNNNNNNNNNNNNNNNNNNNNNNNNNNNCCAACUUAUCUUGAUUUAUAAUGUAUAUUAUCCUUUUACUUGUAGGUAUUCAUAGUUGUUCAGUAACAUCUUAGAUCUAUCGCUUCACUUAUAUAUUAGCACCAAUCAAACGUAAUGUGUAUGUCAAAAACCCAAAAUGGUUCGAUGUUAUGGAUAUCUUCCUGUUUUGUAGGUUGUGGUUAAGGUUGUGAUUUUGUUAAUCAGGUUAUGUUCUUCUCUUUUUGGUUUGGUGAAGGAUGUUUUUAAAAUAUCUCUAUUUACUACAUUGUAAUUUACUGUACAAAAGUAUUUUACUAUUUUGAAUCAAUUUAUGUUUUAACCAACCUCAUUGAUAUUAAUACAUCAUGUCUAUUGCUUCUGUCAUAGGUCAUAUCCAGUUAUUUGACAACAAUACACUUCAUUAAGAAUACACAGUAUUGUUAACACUUGAUUGUUCCUCGCAGCGAUGCGCGGGCACAAAAACUAGUUCACAUUAUUCCCCACCCAAUCAGAUUCUAUGCUACAUAAAAAAAUAAUAAUGAGAGCGCGCCUGCGAGGAGACUCGGAGAGCCUCGGUUUGCUUCGGAUCCUUAGGGUUCGAGUUUGGGCGGCGAUGCAUCUCCUUUGGGCGAGGCGACGACCGUGAUGGCGGUGAGACCGUGGCGGCAGCGAGUCCAUGCGUGUGGUGGCAGCGAGGGGCUCUGGGCUUCUCAGACUGAUGGCUUUUUCGGUGUUAGGUGACGGUGUUGGUGGUGGUUGGAUGCAAGAUGCGUUGGCCGCUGAGCUUGGAGAGGGUCUGCCUGAUAAUAUACUAGAUGGGUGCUGAAAUCGGCGACUAUAGUUGGCCGGUUUUGGGGGUCAACAUUAAGGGAUGAGGCGGUCAGGUCGGCCACUUCUAGGGUUGAUGCAGUUCGGGUUAAUUUGGGCCUGGCCUUGUGGAUCUGGGCCUGGCCUUGUGAAGUUGCUACUGCACUGCUUGGAGAGACCAAGGGUUCUGACUGGGUCGAUUUGGGCAUGAGAACCUAGGGAAUGACAGUAAUCACAGUCCCAUGUUGGGACAUAUCCCUACUUCAUCAUUGUGAAGAGUCAACCCCUUUUUUGUUAGAAAUGUACAUCGAAAUGGUCUCUACGCCCCGAUUCAUUAAGCUGAGUACUUUGAAUCGGUGAUGUAGGUUUUUUACUUUCUUGGUUUGAAUAAGUGUGUUUGAACAUUAGUUUUUUCAGGUUAGCAUUGUAGGUUUUCUUAUUUUGCAGACUUUGAUUGGGCAACGUAUUGUACAUGAAGUUUUCCUUACACAUUCUCUUAGCUUGACCUUAUAAGGUCAUAUGAUUGAAAUGAACGGCGCUUGACUCCAUUUUCCUUCAAAAAAAACAAAAAAUUCUAUGCUACAUCAAAUUAUUUGUAGGUGGCCGGUACCCAACAUUCCCCGAUAUAUAUAUCUUUAUGAAAAAAAGAAAAAAAUACAUCACAUCAUAACAGUAAAAUAAGAANNNNNNNNNNNNNNNNNNNNNNNNNNNNNNNNNNNNNNNNNNNNNNNNNNNNNNNNNNNNNNNNNNNNNNNNNNNNNNNNNNNNNNNNNNNNNNNNNNNNNNNNNNNNNNNNNNNNNNNNNNNNNNNNNNNNNNNNNNNNNNNNNNNNNNNNNNNNNNNNNNNNNNNNNNNNNNNNNNNNNNNNNNNNNNNNNNNNNNNNNNNNNNNNNNNNNNNNNNNNNNNNNNNNNNNNNNNNNNNNNNNNNNNNNNNNNNNNNNNNNNNNNNNNNNNNNNNNNNNNNNNNNNNNNNNNNNNNNNNNNNNNNNNNNNNNNNNNNNNNNNNNNNNNNNNNNNNNNNNNNNNNNNNNNNNNNNNNNNNNNNNNNNNNNNNNNNNNNNNNNNNNNNNNNNNNNNNNNNNNNNNNNNNNNNNNNNNNNNNNNNNNNNNNNNNNNNNNNNNNNNNNNNNNNNNNNNNNNNNNNNNNNNNNNNNNNNNNNNNNNNNNNNNNNNNNNNNNNNNNNNNNNNNNNNNNNNNNNNNNNNNNNNNNNNNNNNNNNNNNNNNNNNNNNNNNNNNNNNNNNNNNNNNNNNNNNNNNNNNNNNNNNNNNNNNNNNNNNNNNNNNNNNNNNNNNNNNNNNNNNNNNNNNNNNNNNNNNNNNNNNNNNNNNNNNNNNNNNNNNNNNNNNNNNNNNNNNNNNNNNNNNNNNNNNNNNNNNNNNNNNNNNNNNNNNNNNNNNNNNNNNNNNNNNNNNNNNNNNNNNNNNNNNNNNNNNNNNNNNNNNNNNNNNNNNNNNNNNNNNNNNNNNNNNNNNNNNNNNNNNNNNNNNNNNNNNNNNNNNNNNNNNNNNNNNNAAAUAACAGUAAUAUGCUGAGCACAUGAAUAAACAUUAGGAAUAAAAACACUCCUAGAAACAUUCUAAAUAAACAUGAAAGAAACUCAGUGAGCGCUUGAAUCCAAGUGUGAUACACCUUGCCUUGCUUCUGUAACAUGCCAUAUUUUUUCAGUGAAAUUAGGCUUUCAGUAUAGCUGAAGAUGCUGGAGCCCCUACGUCUUCCUAUCCAAAAGAUCCAAUAACCAGGAGUAGAAUAUGAGGGGAGUUGUUCUAUUUUCAUCGAAAGAUUUCUUAGGUCCAAAAAGUAACAUUCAUGGACUGAUGCAAAACAUAUGCCAUGCUCCCAUUCAGCACAAAUCUCUCCAAAACUAGUCCAUAUAGUCCAUUCAGGGAGGCAUUUCACUGUUAUAUUGUGAUGUAGCUCCCAUUUUUUCUCAUCAUCAUAACUUGUCAACACCCAUAUCUUAAUAUUAUCUUGAACAUAAUGAACAUCCACAAGAGCCAAAGAUCCUCUAAAUUUAAGCAAAUAUAAGCCAUAACUACUUGAGGGAACAAGAGUCGCACAAAACUCCUCACUGUUAAAAUUGAAUGAAAUCAUGUAACCGGGUCUUUCUAUUGUUUUGCAAAUCAACCAAUGCAUGUGUCCACCUACAUAUAUCGCAUUCUGGCCGCGUUUGCGCGGAAAAGAACUGCCUACAUCAAAAGGAGGAGCCAAAUGUAUCUGUCGCCAUGAGCUUGCACCUAAUACAAGAACUUGAGCCACAACACAGUUGUUAGUUGCCCAAACAUGAAUAAUCUUGUAUGUGCUAGUAAUAUCAUCAUAUCCCAUCCCAUACCAAUUAGUUUCCUUUGAAUAAAUAUGGGUGGUUCGAACCGGGAUGUUACUAAGCGGUAGCUCUAGAACUUCUUCCCUCAGCGGAUUGACCAACAAGCAUGGACCGGUACCGAUUUCUCUUUUAAGGAAAACCAAGUUGCAGAAAACAAAGUCUACUUCCAAGUAACGUUUCAAGCCAAUCUGAGAGACAUGUAUGGAUUUUGUCAGUGUCUGCUUUCUGCUGUUGUAUUUGAACGAUUGCCAUGUCUGUAACACUGACGUACCAUGCCUCCCAGCAUUAGACCAUAUAGUAACACGCAUAAGUGAGUCCAUAGCAGAGUCGUGUGACCGCAUGUUGUGCAGUGUAGCAAACUCGGGGCUGCGAGAUAUGUCGAAAGAGGUCUUAGACACACAUUGGACGCGACAGAGUGAUUCUACCGGCGGUCUCAUAAGGAUAUCGACGAUGACAUCUUCCGGUAGGUCCGUUAAUGUUGUUACCUUUGUGUUUGGAUCGCCAUUGUUCGAGUUUCCCUCAGUCUCGCCGGUGACAUCUUCGGCUAACUCAUCCGUCAAUGUGUUUCUCAUAAUCCAAAUAUUACUCAAAGUCUUCAGAAGAUCGAUACAUCUUUCUAAAAAAUUGCUUCUAUGCAUGAGGAUUCCUCCGGCCAUCGUUCUUUUUUUGCCUUUGUAAGAAGAAGAACUUCCGUUGAUAACAAAUUUCCUGGUAAUACCAGAGGCUCUCUUAUACAUUAUAGGAAUAGGAAUAGGAAGAUAAUCUUUUGGUGUUUGACUAGAAAUUAAUAGACAAUAAGAUUCUGCUAGCUUUGUUAGGAAAGUAUCUGAAUUUAUUUCAAUCAGAUGCGAUUACAAUCGAGUUUGUUAGGAAAGUAUAUGAAUUUAUUUCAUUCAGAUGCGAUUACAAUCGAGAGCUAUAGCUUUCUUUGGAUUUAUAAUAUACACCACCAAACUUGGCUUUACCUGGGCUUCAAAAUAAGGUCAUACUAGCUAAAUGAUGAGCAACCUUGUUAGAUUGCCUAUGUUCAUAGCAAAGUAUGGGAGAAGUUGAGCUAGCUAGCUUAGUUUUAAUAUCCACAAGGACAUGGUGAACUACGUACUUUGCAUGUACUGCUUGCAAACUUCAUAACAUGAUAGUUAGAAAACCUUAAACCCUAGUAUCACGAUGCAACCUUUACCGUCGAUCUUUAGACCAACGCCCAAAUGAAAAGUUACAUGUAAAUUGAAAUGAGCCUAUACAAACAUCUGUAUCCGUAACAAGCAGAAGCCAUAGUACAGCAACUCAGACAAAAUCAUCUAAAAGAGCAGUAGUGGAUUUCAGAGGUUGUACAUGGUACUGAUAUUGUCAACAUCACAGCAAUUCUGUGGUAGAUCUUCGCACUAUAGUUAUGAGUUCAUAUUUCACGACGGGAGGUUUGUACCAGUAAACAUGAGAGCACAAAAUGUGUAAGAAUAGUUGCAGAAGAAAGGCUUUGUUCGCUUUGUUUUUACACCUCUUCAAUUGUAACCGAAGGGGACGACACUCCAUUAAUUUGAUAGUAGUUGUUUGUACUCUGCCAGCAGCUUUGGGAUGUCAUCCAUACGCAACUGCAAAUCAUCAGCACCCAGUUAACAACAUGAUAAGGAAAAUUAAAGGAGAGAAUCAAAUAGAUGAUAUCACUGAUCAGUUGAGUAGAUAUGCCGGAUGUGCAAAAAGAAAAAAGAAAUCAGUUGCAUCUGGUUAAGAUGAUGACACAACGUAACAAUAUGAUAGGUACCUGGUUGACAUUUCUAACAUGAUAGAAACUAUAAGCCACUUUUCUAGAAGAAGCAGACUCAAUCAACUUUGGAUCAGAACCACCAUUCUCCCUACCAUAGCCAAGCAAAUACCACAAACAAAUGACGGAUUAAUCAAUCAAGUUUAAAAAUUGAAAGUCAACAAACCUUAUGUGCAGUGCAACACAUAAGUAUUAGGUUUUAGAAUUUAAAUUUAAGUUGAACUAUGGUGCAUAGGUAAUAUAUUGAACUUGACUUGAAUUUGUUUGUUUCACAGUCAUUGCAAUUUGCAUAUGUGCAGAGGUACUAAAUUCAAGUUGAAUUAUGGUUCAACUCUAAACUAUGGUUAACCUGAGAGAGAACAAUCCAGAUAGCCCUCUCCAUCCUAUAUCAAAUUAAAAGGUGAUAAUACUACCGUAAGUACUCAUUGUAAUGCAUAGUAACAUUGCCUCGGUUGUCAAUUGUCACCACGGUUAGAACUUAGAACUGUGUGUAAAAGAGGAGAACUGAGCAGAAUUAUCUAUUUUCUUCCUAGUUUUUCACUUGUUUGAUGAAUAAAGCUGGUUAAGCAUGUUAGACUUUUGUAAACAACCACAGAAACAGGACAAUUUAGCUGAUUGUAAACAAGUCAUGGUGUAAAACAUCAAUCUUACAGGUGACGACGAGUAAUUUGGCGUUGGUAGUCCCGCAGCAAAGGCCCAAGUUCUUUAAGUGGUAUGAACCUUGCAGUAGAAUUCCUCCAGUGGUCACGAAGCGCCUGAUGCAUUAUCAUUAAUAUUAUACUUUCCUGAACCAUACCAAACAUUUGUCUUCUUAUAGAAAAAUGAUGAUCAAUAUCCUACCUGAAUAUGUACCAUAUGUUCACCAGUGGACACUCUUUCUCCAACCAAACUUGAAGCUAGUUCAUUAAGUUCUCUGUCUUCUAACUCAUCCACAACAGGAACCCCAUUACUAGGGAGAAAAACUGAUAUUCCUAAUCUUUUUCGCAACUCUGAGACACCAGAUUCUUCUGUUUGGCUUUCCUCCUAGGAACAUGACAUACAAAUUUAAUAUCCAGCCCAAGAACAAAAGUUAAUAUCUAGUAGUGUACUAGUAGCUGAGGAAAAAUAUUCAAGAUAUGACACACGUGCUGGAAAUAUUGGAUCUAGUUGAACAUCAUCCAAUCCAAUUCAAUAUGAUGUUAGCAGAUCUGAUUCAAAGAAAACAUGUUUAGAGUAGAAGCAAGGCAGUAUGGUCGUUGGCAAAUAUAGAAUGAUUGGCAAUUACAGGCAGCAGCACCAAUACCUUGAGUUCAGAUUGGACACUACUACUUUCCAUCAUCACAUCCUUAUUUUCAGUAAGAUUCGUUGGUGAAGUUGCACGUAGCCUAUUUGCAAUAGGGUCCUCUAUACAACAGCAAAAUGUGACAAUUAGAAUUUGUCAGAAUAAGGUUUCAACAUAAAUUGCAUGAAAAAUCCAAGAAACAAGGUUCCCUUCUGCUUAGAUAGGGCAGUAAAAUGAUUUCCAUACCAAGAUCUGCACAACAGUUUCUCUCCUUUACUUAACAUCCAAGUUCUUUCUUUAAAUUUGAUAUCACAAGAGAUGAUUUUGGAGCCUUCUCAUCAUCACUUUGGAUAACCCCUCUAACACAGUAUUGUUUCAGAGUAUGGCGUCAUUAGAUCAAAGUCUUACAUUGAACUUUUUUCACUAUCACAUAAAUGAAAUUUGUAUGUGCUCCAGCAAGGGAAAUAAAUAUUUGAAUCAAGAUAAACAUUUUUCUUAAUUUUUUAAGAGAUAUUUAUAUGACCUAACAGACAAAGAGUUGAAGAGUCAAGUUCACGACAUUUUAUGCUAGGUUAUAUUAGAGGCUAUCACCUAACACAGCCGUUUUCUAGCUGUUACUGAAAAUCCUAGAAGAAAGAGGUUACAUGAUCACAAGCAGAGAAGUAAAGAUGAGAAAUAAUAAGAUAGUGUAGUACCUUCAGGGACCAACCACCACAGAUCACCAAAUGUGGAUUUGCCAUCAAAGCCACCAAAUAAUAGAUGACGUGAGCCAAUACAAGUCAGAGAAUGGUAUGCUCGAGCAGGAGGGGGUUCAUUGCCUGUAGGUAAUCGCUUCCACUGUGCAGAAACUAAAUGUUUGAAAAAAAAGGGGUAAGGAAUAUGAUUAAAUGCAUGAAUAUUCAAAGUGAAAGAUGAUGCGAUCUUGUCAUGAGAUGUAAGUGUCUGACACAAAGUACUUCAACUUUCCAUAAUCAAAGACAUUUGUUAUCAAAUAACAGGUGGAACCCAAUAAACAUGCAUACAAGGGAACCACCAAUUAACAAUUACGGUGUUAGAGGUUCCCUAUCCAAAUGGUAACAAGAAUAUUACUCUACUUUUGCACUUUUUUUUCUACGUAUGUGUGAUCUGGAGUGAGGAGUAGGGCAUUGUAUACAAAGUUACAGCUACCGAUUCUUUACUAUACUAUCUAGCCCGUAUAUGUAUCAUAGUAGCAUGGUGAAAAAUGGAUGGUUCAUUGACAUUAUGAUGGUCAACACAGCAUCAGCUAUUAAUUUUAAAGUAUAGGUAAGAAGCACUCACCCCUGUCUAAGAUGAUGCAGUCAUUGUAAUAGAUGUCAUAACGACUCAACCAGCCACCAGUUCCAUGGCCUCCAAAUAGCAACAGCUGCAUAAAUGGUUUUUGAACUCAAUUACAAAGCAUAUCAACAAACUAGAGUGAAUUUCAAUAUAAAAGAAAAUAUAAGAUUAACUAAUAAUCUCCAAUGCCAUCAUAAAAAUAUGAUCCUUCAAUCCACCCUUUAAUUGCAAAAUAUUUCCAGUUUUAUGCAACUGCAAUGAGGGUGACUUCCUGCCUAGAGAGAGGGUAUUUUUUUACUGGCGCAGCUGACAUAUCUACCACCCAAAUUUAAGGAUUACUUUGAGCCUAACUAAAAUUAACAAUAAUGCAUUAAACUAAAACAUAGUACUAUAUCAAACUAUCUAUGAAGAAUGUAAGAAGUAUGAACUUCUUCUGGGUCCGGAUGGUACAGAAUUAAUUUACAGUAUUGGUGUGGGUUAUAUUGAUGUAAGGAACAAAAGGGUUCUAGAUGACUGAUUCAUGAAUACAAAGGAGAAUCUUAAUCUUAAUGGGCAUGGACAGUCUCGCCAGUUUAUUGACAAACAUAAAACAAAGACAGAAAAACUAACAGAACUUUAAAUGUCAAUUACAUAGUGUCCUCCAGAUGUGAUGGUAUGGCCACAACGUGCGGAAGGAGCUUGACCUGGAAGCUUCAGUUGGGUCCAUCCGGGUGUUUCAUUCUCUUCCUUCCACAACAAAGACAAAACAAAAAUUUAAGUUGAAUAACUAAGAAACUAAGCAGUAAAGUAUAACAGUUAGAAUUGACUUACAUAAGGCCAAAACUCAUGAAGCUGAGUACUUUGAAAAAAAAAAAUAACAAGAAAAACCCAAAGCCAUAUACCAAAAGAAAAGAAAAAAUAGCCCAAUGCAUGUGAUUAUUGCACCACCAUCUCAAUACAAAGUUCAAGGGAGCUUCCAAGAGGGAAAUCCCCACAUUAAAAAAAAAAAAACAAGGAACAAAAGUGCGGCUUUCAGAGAAGUUCUUAUUUAGGGGAUUGGCAUGCUGACAGUAUACAAUAUCAAUGUUUUCACAAAUCAUAUACUUUCAGUACAUCAUAAAAAAUAUAAUCGCGCAGCAGAAUGUCUAGUAGAAAUUAGAGAAACUAUUGUUAGUUACAUGGCAUGAAUUAGAAGGCACAUCUGGACAUGCGCUUUUAUAGGAUGACAUGAUUUACGGCAAUAGGAAUAUAAGAUGGCUAUAAUCUUAAGAAUAAAAAUAGAAGGCAAGACUAGAAACAAAAAGCCACAGCAAAACUGAUCUUGAAAAACUGUAGAAAAGGGGAUCAACUAAGCAUCAGUAUCACUACUAACCUUCUUCGAUUAAACCCUUCAAAGCCCAUAAAUCACCCAUGAUGGGACCUCCACCUCCUACAACAUUCAAGAUAAUGUCAGCAAAAAGCAGCCAAAACCCCUUGAAUAAAACCAAUUUAUGCUUUCCAUUUUUUAAAUGAAACAAUCCUCGGUAAUCAAAUGGCGGUCAGUCAGUCAGACAGUAGAUGCUUGUUGUAUCAAAUUACUCUAGCCUUCAAAAAUCUGAAAGUAACAAUCUAGUGAUAUUAUCACUUGCUUUUUCUUGAUUUACUUGAUAAGGAAAAACCUAUCUGGCUCAUGCAGGAAAAAUAAACCACAGUUACAUCUGCAAUAAAGGAAUAUUCUGUGACAAGAAAGGGUCACCUUUACAGAUACAUUUCAUACCACAGAAUCAGCACUCAUAUUCCAUGAAAUGAAUAACCAAUUAUUAACAUAGUUGCAGCAUUGUACUUUACCUCUGCCACCAUACACAAGCAACCGUUUUUCAACCAUAGUAGCUGUGUGGCCACAUCUAGGUGGUGGCAAUGAUCCAGUCACUGACAGUUCCAUCCACUCUAGUGAUACUGUUCAAGGAAGAGUAAAGAAUCAAGUGAAUUUAUGAUCAUUUGAUUCAUUUCAUAAAGGAUCAACUCAACUAAACAUAAAGCAGCAAAUAGCAAAAUUAAAAAAAAUAAAAAGACUCAGAAAAACCAUUUACUUGUGUCCAAGACGUACACAUCUGACAACCACUUUUUACCAUCCCAGCCACCAUACCUGCAUUCAUUUCCAUAUUACUUAAUAAAAAUACUAGAGAGUUGUCACAUAAACUGGUAAAUGGAAAAGGCAAUGAUUAUAUGCUCACAUAAUAAUUUUCUGAUUUCCAAUAGCUGAAGCUGCAGCAAAGUCUCGUGCUGAGGGUAAAUCACCAAAGCUUGUCAACUCUGACCAUUGCCAUAUAUCUGGAAAAGACAAAUUUAAUUUACCCUCAGCAUGUCAAAAAGGAGGCCAAAACAAGCAUUAACCCAAGUAUAUUCACUCGUAUCACUCUAACACAUUUUUAUAAGAAAAAUAAAUAAUCUUACCAGUAUCUAGGACCCAAAAGUCACCUAACCUGAACAGGCCAACCUUAUAGUUAAUACAAUGUGGGGAGAUAAUCGAAAUAUAGCACAAUAUGUUGCAAGUUAGUGGAUGUCAACACACCUCUUGCUACCAUAACGCCCACCAAAGAUGAACAUAUGACAAUCAAUCACAACAGCAACAUGAAAUGCCCGAGGACUCGGACCAACUUGUCCAUCAGUGCCGCCAGUGCACUCUGGCUUAUACCAUAGUUUAUUAUCUGAAACAAUCAAAAGCCUGAAUGAGAUUCUUUACUUUUACUUGUGUGUAUGUCAUAGUUAAAUUUUUCCUCUUUCUUUUCUUGUUAUGAAAGAAACAGUCAACUUCAAAUUGCAAGAAUUUUAGUCCACACAAUCAUUUCCGACUAGAUAUACCAUGGUGCAUGAUGCUUUCUAUAGAAAGAAAAAUCGCAUAAAUUUAACUUUCCACUGUUCCAUUCUGUGUAUUAAGCACACAGUGAUUCUUCAAAGUCCAACUGAUGUGGCAAAAGAGGAUCUUGAAGCAAAAGAAGUAGGAGAAUCUGUGGAAGACAUUGCCGGCCAAUUAAAAGUUCCUUAUGAUUUACCGUAAGUUUUACCAUUUUUCAUAAAACUAAGUACAUCUACUUAGCUUGAGUGCAGAUAUCACAAGCACCCUCAUUUCUUUUGAUUUUACGAAUAAAUUAGAAAACCAUGGAUUAUUUGAUCACACAUUCUUCACAUUAUCUAUUUCAAUCCAUCCUUAACAAGAUAUUUGUUCCUCAAUACUUAGUCAAGCCUUUCACCAUUUCGACGAAACCAAACUACUGAUAUCAACUAAACCCUCCUCACUUGAACUGAUUUUGCAAAUAAAUUAGUAAACCCAUGGAUUCAUCUAUUCCGAUCCCUUCAAAUUUUGCAUUGUAAAAGUAAAACGGUAAAAUCCAAGUAAAACUAAGGUGGAAGGUGUGAGGGAUUGAGUGUACCAAUAUCAUAGACGACGAUAUCGGCGAGGAACUUCUUGUCCAAGAGGCCUCCGAAGACGAUCACUUUUGAUUUCCCAAUGUUGACGGCAGUGUGACCACUGCAGAAUUCAGUAUUCAAACUUCAAAAUUCAAAAAAAAAAAAGAAAAAAAAAGAAAGGAAAAUUUAACAUGGAUGAGAUUCGAUUAGAGAGAGAGAUGAAGUGGUGUGCCUGCGAGGUUGAGGAAGAGUUCCGGCGAAAUCAGAGGAAGAAGCUCGAACCCAGUAAUGCAUCUUUGUCUCUUCUGUGCUAUUUUACCGAUCCAAACAAAGAAAUCGGUUCUUUCACUUCUUUGAGGAGAGUUGUAUGUUUUUUCGUUUUUAAACCAAGGUGUAACAGUUCACGGUAGAAUCUUAGCAAUUCAGUACAAAAUCGGUCAUGUUUGUUUGUCACAAGUGGGACUGCGACAAAUAAGGGAGUGCAGUUUGGUUAGUUCACGUUACUAGGUAUUAAAUUAAAUUAGUUUAAGUAACACUGUGUUUAGAUAGUGUUAAACUGUUAGUGUCAAAAAUUUAGUAUACAUAUUUAUGUGUCAUACAAACUAAAUAUGUGGCUAUCAUUACUUGAAAGAUGUAGUCAAGUGAGCAUUUACCCCCUCCAAAUGCUCUUUAUAUGCCUUGCAUAGAAGUGAGUGGAUCACUUUGUCAAUACGUGGGUACUCAGGUUGAUCAUCUUUAGACAACACCAUCUUUUUAAACUAUAUAUAAACCAAACAAACUAUCAUCUAGUCUCGUUAAACACCAAAACAUGAGUUAAUAUUAGUACAACUUAAGACAACCUACAUCAAUCUAAGACAAUCUUAACAAAUAAAGAUGUGUAAUGUAGUCUUGAAUACCAAUGUAUAGAUAGGUAGAGCAUUCAUAUGGUAAGUGUGUGUGCACAAUCCUACCUCUACAAUAGUAGGAUGUGUCUAAAAAUUAUAUUGAUCUUGGUCCGUCUUUGUUUAAGAGCCAAUGCAUAUGUUAUGGGUGUGUUCGAUCAAUUUUCAUAUCUUAAUUUGAUAUUUAUACAUCCUAUGAGAUUAAAAUUUAACUCUAAUUAGAAUCGGCAUUGAACUCCACACGAGACGGCUCUUACCAACUUGACCCUCCAUGUCUGAGGAUCCCUUAUUUUUGUUUCCAAUGUGUCACUUGGAUCAAUUAGGCGUGUGGGUUUGUUAGAUAAUUCAAGCCCAAAUGCCAUACCCAUAGCUCUUGUUUCAUACAGACCAGAGCUAACUGAUAAACAGUUAAACACAGCCAAAGUCUCUCCGCUCCGGCGGUGAAAGAAAUCAAAAGCGCCACAAGCAAUGGCGUCGCUGCUCCUCUCACCUCUCCGCUUACGCCAUUUUCUCUACAAAAGGCCUAAGCUCAAACCCCCUUCUCCACUCUCCUUCUCUUCCUUCAAACCCCUCCUCAAACUCCGCCCUCGCUUCCCUCCCUAUUUACAGUCCUGCCACCGCUCUUCCACCGCCUCUUCCUCCCCACUCGCCGACUCCGACCACAAAACCCACGCGCUCCUACUCGGCAGAGACGAGCGUGCAGCACCACUCAAUGGGUCCCAUCCGCAGCCGCAGCCGGAGAACGCGACCACAAUCGCCGCCAUUGUGACGUCACUCGGGGGCCCGCCCGGUGCGGUCGGGAUCGUGAGGCUGUCCGGUCCGUCCGCCGUGGCCGUCGUCGGCCGCGUGUUCCGUCCGAGCAGGAGGAAGAGUAAGAGUAAGAGCCCAUGGCGACCCACCAGUCAUGUGGUUGAAUACGGCGUGGUUUUGGACCCAAACGGCAAUGUGGUCGAUGAGGUAGUCUUUAAAGUCUCUUGCUUUAGGGUUUAGGGUUUAAAGUCUCAUACUUUUAGGGUUUGGGGUUCAAAGUUUCGUACUUUGAGUGAAUGUGAUUGAUAUUGUUGAAUAAUUUAGGUUUUAGCUGUGCCUAUGUUGGCGCCGAGAUCAUAUACACGUGAAGAUGUUGUGGAGCUUCAAUGCCAUGGGACUCAGGUGUGUCUGAAUCGGGUUCUCAGAGCUUGUUUGGAAGCCGGAGCACGCCUCGCGGAACCAGGUGACUUCAUUUCCUACACUCUCCCACAUUUAGCUUACUUGAAAUGGAAUUGAAUUUUUAGCUUGAAAAUGUGUAACACUUUUGCUAUAAGAUUUGAGUAGAUACAAAAGGGUUAUCACAUGUAACACUACAUUUGUGAUUUUUUGUGUUGUAGGGGAGUUUACUCUGCGUGCUUUUCUCAAUGGCCGGUUGGACCUGACUCAAGCUGAAAAUGUUGAUAAACUGAUUUCGGCCAAGUCUGUGGCUGCAGCAGAUGCAGCACUGGCCGCAAUUCAGGUAUGCGUCUGUUAUUGUCUUCUAUAAUUAGUGUAUUUAUCCAACUUUUUAUCCAAGGAAGUUAUGAACUAAGCACUGACAGAAUUUGUAUAUUGGCAGGGUGGCUUUUCUUCCAUGGUAAAAUCUGUAAGGUUUCAGUGCAUUGAGUUGCUUACAGAAAUUGAAGCUCGGUUAGAUUUUGAUGAUGAGAUGCCACCACUUGAUAUCAAUCAAGUUGUAAAUAAGAUACAUUCCAUGUCACAAGAUGUUGAGAGUGCUCUAGAGACGGCCAAUUACGACCAACUUCUGCAAUCUGGAUUACAGGUACAAUUUCUAACAUUCUUUUUUACUUCAUCUAUACCAAGAAAGAAGCUUAUUUCUUUCACUUCACUUCUUACGUCGUAUGAGCAGUUGUGUUGUUUAUAUAUCUGGGUUUCAAAGUAAGUCUUUAUUCUAUGGAUGCCUUUAUGUGCACAACUUUGAAUACUUAAGCUAAAGUUAGGACUUUGAUAUGUCAAUGGUAAGUUUCUUUUUGUUAUGGGAAGCAAAUCAUGGGUUUUAUUUUUCAAAAAAAAAAAGAAGGAAAAGAAGUGUAUAUGGUGCCUUAGUUGCUUAAAGGGGACUUUAUAUUAGUUUUUUUUAUUGAACUCUACUUUAUUUCUUAAAGGGGACUGCUUAUUUGUGUUUUAUGGUAGUCUGGGUAUACGUCGUUGGUGUAUCCUUUUAUAUCUUUUUGACAUUUUGAAUGUAGAUGCCUUCUAUGUUUCCAUUAUCUACAAUUCAGACACUUCUGAUUUAUGGAACUCUUUUGAAUAUAUCACAGAUAGCGAUUCUGGGCCGUCCAAAUGUUGGGAAAUCAAGCCUCCUCAAUGCAUGGAGCAAAGUAAGUAGUGGCAGCUUAUGCACAUUCUUUUAUUCCAGUUGAUGAUGUGUCUGAUGCCAUAAUUUCACAUGCUUGCUUAUAUGUAGAUAUAUGCUGUAUCACUACCACACAUUGAAUAUUUUGAAAUCUCAUAAAUGUUAGUUCUUGGAAAAACUGCAUAAUAGGAUUUGUAGAAUGUGGAGCCUUUUUGAAGAAGCUGUCUUAUAUAAUCUACUGAAGUUACUUAACUAUGUUCUUGGAAAAAUUUUGGGUUUUACAGAUACCUCUAUGAAAAUGUUACAGAAGCAGUGAAACAAUUGGUAUAGAUCAUGUGAGGCUAAAUUGUUAAUUAAUAAGCACUCCAUUUGGUUGAUAAAGCUACUGAGUGGAUGCUAUCAUUUUUGAGUCUCUCGUCACUAAUAUUAACUUUAUUGGCUUUUGUUGUGGGUGUGUGGUAAGGUUAGAAGAAACAAUUAUAUUUCAAGAAGAAGGAAAUUUAUAGUGUAAGCCAUGUUUGAUGGGUGUGGUUUACUAAUGUGGUGUUUUCUCUUUGGUUGUUCUUUUUAUCUGCUUAGCAAUUUCUGGAAGCAUGAGAUGUUAUUGAAUGCUGCUUCUUUAUUUUAGCGUGCAGACUGAGAGAGCUAUAGUUACAGAAAUUGCUGGGACCACUCGGGAUGUGGUUGAAGCCAGUAUUACAGUUGGUGGUAUUCCUAUAACCCUUCUUGAUACAGCAGGCAUCAGGGAAACCAAUGACGUGGUGGAGAAAAUCGGUAAACUCUCUCUCUCUCUUUGCUCAGUCUUGAAUGGCUAGAUAUCCAUAGUUGAUGUAUAUACAUGAUGGAACAUGAAACCAAUUUGGUAAAACUGCCUCUAUUUUUUCUUAUUUUCUUAAAAAGACUACAAACAAGUUUGGCUCAUACUAGAAUACUUUUCUAGUAACAUAAGAAUUCGGUUAUUUUCAAUAUUGAUCAAUUUGAAUUGGGUAGGGCCAUGGGCCUUUCUAUGAAAAGUGAGAUACUUCACUGUAUUCCAUUUGGAGUGUUUUGUCUUUGCUGCUUCUAAGAUCCCAAAGAAAUCUGUACUUUACUGAGGUCAUUUUUGAGUUUAGUUUUAUAGUGACAAGUAGAAUAUCACCGAAGAUAUUCACAAUUGCAUUUAUUUCUGAGUAAUCAUGAUGUAAUCACGGACCAGUUGACAAUUGUAAUGUUGCUAAUUGGAUAUUAAUUGCUGACAACCAAUGAUAUCGUACUUCGCUGGAUGCUUGUUUUAUUAUGGCAUUGGGUAUCACUAUUGGAUAUCUAAAUUCCUUUAUCUCCUUUAUAUCACAGGUGUGGAGAGGUCAGAAGCAGUGGCUAUGGGUGCUGAUGUUAUUAUUAUGACAAUAAGUGCUCUUGAUGGCUGGAGUCCAGAAGACUCUGAACUUCUUGACCGAAUUCAAUCUAACAAGGUACCCUCUCAUUUCUCUGUCAUAUGAAUAUGCCUGUAUCUGCAUUUGUUGAUCCUUGUCUUUGAUUAUGCAAACUGCUGCUCAGGCUAUACAACUCUGAUCUGUUAUGUCAUUUACAGAAAUCGACUGGAUCUUCAACUCCAAUCAUCCUUGUAAUUAACAAAAUAGAUUGUGUUGCUUCUGAUUGCUUGGAGCGGGUUCAACAAAAUGUCGGUUCUUUCAAUAACCAUGUUUUGACAUCUGCAAUCACUGGUCAAGGAAUCCAAGAUUUGGAGAAGGCAAUAUUAGAUAUUGUUGGUCUCAACAAAUUUCGAGGAGGGAGUCGAAGGUGGACUGUGAACCAGGUUAGGAGUUGGUUAAAUUUAUAUAUUUUGGUGUCUGUGACAUACCAAAAAUUUAAAGCAUUUUCUGGUCAAGAUAUUUUUGUUAUUUUUUAUUUUUUGAGAAUGUGCUGGUCAAGCAUUUGCAAUCACUGAUUGUUGUAUAAAAUUUUGAUGAUGCAUCAGAGACAAUUCGAGCAGCUUGUCCGAACAAAAGAGGCUCUUGCAAGGUUGAAAUCCUCAAUAGAGGAGGAAAUUCCUUUUGACUUCUGGACGAUUGAUUUGAGGGAAGCUGCAAUGGCCCUUGGCCAAAUAAGUGGAGAAGACAUUUCGGAGGAGGUUUUGACCAACAUCUUUGGCAAGUUCUGCAUUGGUAAAUAGAAGAGCUAGAAAAUGUAUUGAUCUGUAGAAAGUUUUGUACCAUGUUAGAUAUGAAGGGAGAGACGGUUCUUUACCAUGAACAACAGAGUUCAUAAGAAAUUUUUAAUGGAAUAACAAUGUCAUGAAUGCUCUUUUGUUUUAUGCCGGAUUACUUGUCUAUAUCUAUCUUAGACUCUGAGUCGUUUUGGAGAUAGCUGAAUAUGAGAUCUCAGCUUUAGGUAUUAGGAACCAAAGAAAAAUGGCCUUUUUGUGGCUUGACAUGCAAUAUGGAAAUGCCAACAAAUGUUCUUUGGACGGCAAUGUAUAGAUGACAAGAGAAACAUUGUAACGCAAGAAACAACAAAUGAGACGGCUGCCACUUGAAAUCAACCCAGAUGGUACAAAACAAAAGCUGAUAUAUAUUCAUGCAUUCUUCAGAAAAGUGAACUGUAAUCCUCUAAAGCAAAAUGUGUUUCAAAAUAGGAAAAGAACUGACGAAGGAGGAACUAAAGGAGAAGGAGAAGAUAAUGAAAGCCAAGGAGAAGGAGAAGAGGAAAAAACUAGAACAGGAGAAAGAGUUGGAGAAGAAGAGGCUGGAACAAGAGAUGAAGAAGAGGCAAGAGAAAGAGAAGAAGAAACGUGAAGAAAUGAAACGAAAAGAGAAGGAGAAGGCGAAGAUGAAGAUGAAGCACAAGAUGAAGAAAUGAGCAGCUCAACUGGAUUUCCUCAGAUAGUCUAGUGUAACAUUUUGUAUUUCAACUUUUGGCCUAGUGAUUCUUGCCUAAACAGCAAUUUUUUUAAUUUCAUCAAGCUUUGUGUCCCUCAAAAAUUUGAAUUGAAUCUUCAUAAUGAAAAUUUGGGAACACUUACAAAAACGGACGAGGCAAAAUGAAUAUGUAAUUAUAAACUGAAUAAUGAACAAUUCUUACAGGAUAUUACAGACUAUAUCAUAACUUUAUUUUCAAGCAUCAAUGAGCCAUGUAGGAAAAUAAUGACACAGAGCCUGCAAAUGCUGGUUGUUUUACUAUUGAAGCUAUCUAUUCCCCUUAUACUUUUACUUGUGGUUGUGACUAACAAAAUUUACAAUGUAGAACAAGUCUACUCACUAACACCCUCUGCCUCAAUAUACAAUGAAGCUUCUCUAUCAGCCAACUAAAUCAUUGAUGUGUCUGAUAUGAAAGCAGUCACUGUGUUCUUAUAUCUGCUAAGAUCAAAUAAGAAAUGCACCUACGUGUCGAUAAAACUAUGAUUCAGGCACAUACAAGCACAACAAAUUCGUGGGACUGUGGUCGCACAUGAAGAACCAACGUUCCCAUCACCCAAGCACCUUCCGGAGUUCCUCAACCAACAAUGAUCGGCUUGAUGGCUCAACCUGCGUUAGAAUUUCAUCAUUAGCUCCAGGUGGCUAGAAAUAAAAAAGACAGGAAUUUGUAAAAAAAAAGAAAAAAAAGAAAAAAGAAUAAACAUGAUGAUUUACCUUGCUUAGAAGGGCGGCAAGACCUUGGGGUAGGGCUUGCAAAUCAGAAGCUGAGUUGCCAAUGGUUGCCAAUUGAAGCAAUACCUUCUGGACCCGAAGUUCUUUUAGCUUGCCCUCAUAAUUUGUUUGAUCAUCCUUCCAUCUAAAGAAAGUUUCAUCAUCCUCCCAAGCAUCUUCUUUGCCUCUUGAAACAUCAGAACUCAAAAACCAGUUCUUGAUCAAAUCCAUAGCAGAUUUAUGUGACAGCUGUUCACCAGCAGCAUCUCUCACUAUCUUGAUGAGUGACUCAUCGGCAAUUCUCCGACGCAAUCUCUUGUAGAAGAAAGAUCGAGAGCUGGCCCAUUCCAGAACUCCUCUGAUUACCCCUUUUGCAGCCAUCCUCAGAGAAGUAUCAUGAAGUUCUGCAAACUUGGUAGCUAUCUGAGUGUAGACAGGCAAAAGCUGUUUUUCGCGGGAUCGUAUUUGAAACUGUAGGGACUCAACCUUUUCAUUUGCCUCACAGCUCCUGGCUUCCUGAAGCUGAGUCUUUAGUUGGAUCAGCUGUUGAUCAAGCCUGCCCAUGCACUCCAGCAAUUCCUUGUUCCUAAACUUGAUCUCGAUCAUCCCCUCUGGCUCAAGCACAUUUCCUCUAGCCGUUCGAUCAGCAUACAUUUCAAUAUGGUCUGGAUUUAUCCGGCUAUCAACAACCACCCAUGCUCCACCACGUAGCUCCCCCAUCAUCGGGAUGAAUACAAAAACAGGCUGUUUGUAAGUCCUAAGGUUCUCCACAAUGGUUGAUCCAGCCUGAAGAAUCCCUUCAAAAAGGUCUCUCUGCCCACCAGAAAAGCCUCUCCAGUUGGCAAGAAUGAAAAGUGGGAGUCCUUCUCUGUUGAAAUCUAAUAAUGCUUGGGCAGUCUUAGUAGCAGAAUCAGGAAACCAUACUUGUCCAGCCUGAGGAACAACCCUCUCAUGGGAAUCAAGCUGGCCUGGAUCAGCAGGGAUAAUUUGCAUCACAGUCUGUGUCUCAACAGCAACAAUUCCCACAGGGAUUCCUCCAAGCUUCGCCCUUCCAGUAACCACCGUCCUUGCCCAGCCUUCUAGCGUCUCAACAAAGCUGUCUUUAUCAAAUAUACCCCCCAUCCAGUUCCCAUUACCAUUCAGAGCACCAGAAAUCGCAGCUCGAGGAUCACAUGAAUUCUCCGGGCAAUACUCCACGGGCCUUUCUGGAGGAUCCAAGGGCAUCGAAAUGGGGAGUGGGCCACCAACAUGAGGAGGAACAUAGCUCAGCCACUUUAGAAUAGCAGAUAUUCCUUCAAGAUCAUCAGCUACCGUUAGAUGGACAACCCCAUUAGUUCCCAUAAUUUUAGGUCCUCCAAGUUGCAUAUGGGAGCUGUACACCUCCCGACCAAGUAGUUUGUUUAAUGCAGAGAAACCAGUUAAAAUGAUGGGCUGAUCAAGCCUCUGUAUGCACCGCAUCCCAAGCCUUGCAAGAUAAGCACCUAUACCUACAGUUCUGCCAGUCACAUAUGUUAAGGUAAAGGUUUCCUUAUAUGCCCUCGAAUAUGCACCAGCAAUUGCCCCACUUCCAGUCAAGCUCUCAACCCCCAAGCCAUCCUCCUUUCCGACAAUGGUAUCUAUCACCCAUCUGGUUUCACCACUUGAUAGCUUUAUUUCAUGCGCUAUCACAGAAGAUCCAAUCCGAGCAUAGUCCUCAGAGGUUAAAUACACAUAUUGGAAACCACGUUCAGGGCUUGAUUCAUCAGACCAGCCCACUUUAAAACAGGAUUUGACUUCUUCAGCAACCCCAAUACGAGCACCUGAGUUUGCUGCCAAGUAUAUUAGAGGCAACUUCUCAGCACAAGCAAGCUCAGUUACUGCAAAGAAGAAUGCAUCCUCUCUUGGACCAAAAGAUCCAGCUUUGUAGGUCACAUCAUUUGCAACAACCAAUAUCUUCCUUCCAGAAGGGAACUCAGGGGUAGACAUUUCCAUAAACCAUGCUAUCAUACCAACAUCAUUGAGUCCAGGUGGACGCUCUACGGUAAUGAGAGGAGUACCCCAGCUGCCUUUUUGGUCAGCGAAUUUGAGCUCUGUGACCUUGAGAAUUUUACCCUUUAGUUUGUUAACACUUGGUGACUGGGAUGCCCAUGACUGUUCCAAGGCCGUCUCAAACGCCUAUUAAAAACAUAAAAACACAAGUUAGUUUUACCAUAUCUGUAAACUGUGUAAAACAUAAAAUUAUUUAUUGAAAAAGAAAAAAAAAAUAAAGAAACAUUCCUAUCAGACAUCUCACCAGUGGAAAAUCAUAGCAGUAAGUGGUGUUAGUUCUCCUGGCCAACAGACGCUUUCGGUCAAUAAUCCCCAAAGGCUGAUAUUGCUCAUUCACUGGUACACCAUGCAGGGGACCCUUCACAGAGACUGAAUGGUAAACCACUCUCUGUUUGCUAGUAUCUUCUUGUUCCCGAUAUAUCUGAAUAUCAUGUUGACCAAAAGUACAAUCAUGACUCAUAAUUCAUAUUCACAUUGUCGUCUGAUCAGAAUUUAGAAUAACAUACCGGUCUUUUGCUAUAUUAUUCACAGCUUAUUUAUAUUAUUGGGGUUUCCUUGAAUAAAAGAUCUAAGAAAAAAAUAUGCAUGAAAUAGUGAAGAUUUUUUUUUUUACUGAUAUUAUUCUUCCAUUGGUUAAAUGAAGAUUUUUUUUUCCCUGAAAAUAAAUAUAGAUUCUAUCUUAAGUUGAAUAAAAUGUAGUGCAAUGUCAGUAUUAAAGAAAAUACUGAUAGGACCCAUCCUUUGUAAACCAACCAAUGAAUUCUUAAAAAAAAAAUGCAAGCAUAUUCUUCAAUGAAAUGUAUGCGAUAUAUAUAAACAUACAUGUACAGUGCAGGUAUGACCGGUCACAUUUGUCACGACAACCCUCCAAGCAACGUUUGCCUGUCCAGAGGAUGCCAUCCACAACUUCACUUCCCACUCACAAACACCCAACCUAUGCAUCCUUACACCAACUGAUGCGUGGAUUUCACGUGCAAGUUCUUCCAGGAUGGCCUCCACCACAGUUUCUUCUUGUUGAGCAUCUAAAUCAACUCUCCUACACAAUAAUACCAAUAAGAAAUUCUAGAAAGUUGGCUGUCUUAUCAUGGAAGAAAAAAAAUUGGAUGGGAAAAAGAAAUAUUUACUUGUGGUAAGGCAGCAUAUCAUUAAUUUGUUGCUCACGUAAGAUAUAAAGAUACAUAUGGGUGUGGUCAGAUUUGACAGUGGCAUUGUGCGCAUUCAAUUCCAGCUCUUCCAUUGCUGUUGAUAAGGACCUCAAGAUGCUCCUCGAAGUAAAUGAUAAAGCCAAUUGGUUACUAGCUGUUGCGAUGUCUAGCCGUUGAAAUCCAGAGAACCCUUCAUUUGUUGUGGGCUGCCUUACAAGUGUUCUGAGGAACAUCCUUUGGAUCGGUAGCGGCUUGUCUACAACGGUGUACAGGUGCCAUUGACGGUCACGGGAUGGGGUAUACUGGAUAUUCUCAUAGCCCUUAAGCUUGUCCUGGAUCAGAAGAAAUGUUGAGUUACUUCAUAUCAAGGGUUAAUGCGAGAACAAUUUGUCACUCUUAACAUAAGGGCUAGGCAUAAAGCCAGGAAAUUACCAAUUCAAGAUAAAUAGAUAGAGGAGGUUCUAGGUGACGCAAUAAGGGUUCUUCUUCAAAAUAGAGUUUCUCUGAUGACCAGUGGAAGGAGUGCCUCAUAGGGGGCCGCCCUUCAUCCCUUUGUAUGAUACAACUAAUUACUGUGACACCUGCACCAUGUAGACUGGAGGCUAGUCCUUGCUCUUUAAGUAUUUUGGCUAACUUCUUAAUUCUCUCUUGAGCCUGAUCCUCGUCGCCACUGGCAAAUAUCAAAAGACAAUGCUGGUCAAGAUGGUAAUUUUAACUGUAGGUUCUGUUUGACAUGUCUUUGCAGAUAGACAAAGAAACCAAAAAAUGUCUAUGACAAGAUGGGUCCUCCAGAAAUUUUAUGUGCAUACUAAUCCAAGUCACUAAGUUAUGAACCAAUUAAAAGAGAACCCCAGUAUUGCAGAUAAAGUAUACACUCUAACAUGCGAAGGGGCUCCCAAGAUUCAAUGCAUGAUUAACUUUAAGUUGCAAACUUCAAGGCUAAAAUAAUGGGCAGAUACAGUACCUAUCCUGUAGCAGACUCAUCUGAUUGUUGAUGCCAACCAAAGCAAUAUGCAUCAUAUUACCAAAGCCACUUGGUUCAGUAGAUCCAUUUGGAGUUGCUUCAUGAAGGUUAUGCGACAUUUCCUUCAGUGCACCACUAAUAAUUGCUGGAAGAAAGUGAAGAGAUUUUAUUAUAACCAUGACUCCCCAUUUCCUCUCCUCGUGUUUCUGAAGGAAUGUUUUAUUAACUGAUUGAUCUUCAAUCUCAUGUUUCCUCUCAACAGGUUCUUCCGAGAACUCCCAUGAAGCUAUUAGACCUGAUCUGUGCCACUGCAUCCUGACACUCCCCUUUACAAGGUAGGGCUGAUGACGAAUAAAAAGUUAAACAAAGAAAUCGGCUAUUGAAAGUAAAGUAAGCAGCAGUGAAAUGUUAAACCACAGUACCUGGUAUAACCGGCGUACAUAACUUUCGACAACCCGCCUCUGAAGGGUGUGAUCACCAUGAUCAAACAGACCAACAAGGGCAUCUUCGACUGCCAAAGGUGCACUCACAAGAUCCUCCAUUCGUUCAUUUAUGGCACUUUUCCUCUUCGGAGUAUCCAUGGUUUCACCAUCCUCAGUAAACAUCUCCAACUCAGAAAGACUUCUGGCAAUGCUAGAACGAAGUUCACUCAACUUGGUUUGCUCCAUCAGCUGACUCGCUUUUAGUGCCAACUGUAGAUUUAGAGUAAUUAGGACUCUUCAAAAACUUAAGGAUACUAGUCUAAAAUGGCGAUUAUAUUUGAAAACUUAAAUAACAAGAAAGAAAUAUAUGUAUAUUAAAAGCUAACAGUUAAGCAACUUGGUUAAAUUGGUGCAAUAGCCAACCUGAGAAUAAUUUGUAUGGUUAAGUGAAGAAAACCGAAUUAGCUUCUCCCUGUAUGCUGCAGGGUUGGGGUAUACCAGCUGUUCCAUGAGUCGUAGAAUCAGCUUAUUUUUAUUCUUUACACCCUGAAAGCAAGUGAUAAACAGUACUGUUACAAAAUAAUUCCAAUAAAAAAUUGAAUGAGACGUGGGGAAGGCAAGCAGACCGAGAAUGUUGUAAUUUAGGUACCUGAUGAGAGAGCACAAUUUCCACAACCUUCAAUAGAUCCUUCUUAUAUUGAAGUCGAAGGCGCUCAAUUACAUCAGCCUGGAGCAAAGAAAUAUGAUAAUCUUAGGAUUCAAGCAUCGGAAUAUACUUUCACAAAUUUACAUAGUUCAUAUCUAUGUGGGGGCAGCUCUCAAGUCUCUAAUUUAACUGGUUGCAGCAGAACUACAAAGCUAAAUACCAAGCUUAAAUUCCAAUUAUAAGUAACCAAUGUAUUUAUUUAUGAUAACUUGAUCAAGUACAUAUAAAACAGAGAAUCAAAACCAAAAGAGAGAAAAUAAAAAUAAAAUCAAACUGAGACAAAAAAAAGGUUAAUUAUGAUUGAUGACAUGGCCAAACAAAGGAUUGGAAGUUAUACACCACCUUAUAUUAAAAAUAAUAUAAAAAAACAAUUAUGACUACCAAGCAUGUUUCCGUGAUAUGUAACAAGAAAACAACUACAAGUGGUUUGGUUUUUCUCUUGUAUGCAUGACUAUAUACUGUUAUACCAUAAUCAUGCCAGCACGUUGAUUCAUUAUAAAACCCAAGAGCAAAGGCCCUUUAUGAGCAUAAGUAUGGUACAUCAAUAAAGUAUAUUGAAAAAACAAACUCCAUUCAACUAUGCACACAAAAAUGGUACUGGAGUUGCUCACAUUAAUGGCUUGAUAAUUGUAAACAACUAUUUUUUUCAUGGUGAAAGUCGAACCUGAAUGUUGUCACUGAAUAAUUCUUCAACUGACAGAUACUCUUCAAAAAGGGAUUGAACAAUAACUCGGGCAUGACUUUCUCUUCCACCUUCAUAAGACUUCACAAGGCUCAUUAAAGGUUCAACAAGCCUUUCUUGGGCUCCUUUUUCUUUAUCAGGAGAGGAGAACAGAUGAGCCUGCAGAUACAUCAGACCAAUAUUCUUAUGAGGAAGAUGAAAAAAGAGAAGAAGCUAGAUGGAGUUUGAAUACAGAACUCACCUCGAGAACGCUACGCAACAAUUUGGCAGGGAAAUCAACAUUCUGAGAGCUAGAAAUCAGCUCAAAAUCCUUACAUUUUGAUUCCAGCUGUAAAGUAAAAUGAAAGAAGAGAUAUGAGUAAAGACUAUUGCAGAAUAAAUCAGAGGGAAAACCCACCCAGGCCUGCUUACUUCAUUUUUCAGAUUCUUGGGUAGGCGGGUUGCUAAAACAGCCAAGCAUUCUUGCCAUUGAAGGAAAGGGAGUUCGGGACUAUCUAGGCAAUUGAGCAAGUUUUGCACUACCUGAGAUAGAUGACAGACUCUUCAAUAAGACGGGUUUAAGUAUGAUGUAAUGAUCUACCAAAUGAUAUUAUAGACAAGAAAAAGAAUAGAUAAAUACAUAUCUCAAAUAUUAUGUUUUACAAUGAAAGACAACUCACUUCAUCAAUGUUAUGCUCAUAACCAGCAAGAAUCAUUCGGGCUGCGUUUAAGCUUGCAGCACAUCUCUGAUGAACUUUACCAGAAAUUGCAGUUGGAGGCCCCAGGACAGGGAAGCUUCCAUGGAAAGGUUCUGCCUUUCUUACAGCCGAAGGGUCAUCUAAAUCAAGCCUUGCAAUAAGUUCACCAGCCUAUACAAAAAAACAUUAACUUUUUUUAUUUCCACUAAGAUAAGAAUGUCUUUUUGUUCUUUUAUUUUAUUUAUUUAUUGUGAAAUUAGUACGUGAUUUACCUGCAUUGCCUGGCCUUCAGACAAUUGAAAGUGGAUAACUCCUGAAGCAGGUGAAAGUAGAGGCAUACACAUCUUCAUAACCUCAACCUCCGCAUAUGGUGUAUCAGCAUCGACAUGACUAUCAUCAGCAACCAAGAACCUCAACAGCUUGCAUGGUGUCUCUGCUAUUAACUUGGAUGGAUCAUGAUCGUUCUAGAUUCAACAAAGGUCAACUACUCAGCAUAUGUAAUGUGUGAGCAAGCAAGCGAAAUGAGGAAAGAAGAGCAGUGGAGGAACCUGAAGCAAGCAUGUCCGUCCAUCAAUAAGAAGGCGAGUUCCAGCUGCUUCUUCCUCUGCAUAUAUAAUGUGACUGUUUCCAUCCAACUGUAACAACAUUUAAGUAAUAAGUAACAGCAGCAGCUGACAGGUGCAAUUAUACAGUAUGUACCAAGUGUUGGUGCACAAGAUAUUGUGGAUGCAGCAAAUUGUAAGAAUAUAUUAGCAUGCCGACAUUGACAUGAUUAACCUGAUUGAUGACAUUUUUAGAGGUGCCAAAAUACACUUCUUUAAUCAAAAUGACAAUUACUGUAUAAAUUAAAUAGUCCUACUACAAGAUAAGUAAUACGAAAUAUGAGCAAGAGUAGAAUCACUUUUGGAGCUACGACAUGAAAAUUCUAAAGACAAUAGUUAUACUUGCCUGCAUCAGUAAUCCUCCAUCGCGUAAAGUAUGUAUCUCUGCUUCAACCUCUGAGUCAUUCAUCCGCAAUCUAUAGUUCCCAGGGCCUCCUCUCACCAUAUCAAUCUAGAAUAGUUGAUUGUUGGUUAUAUAUAACUAUUGAUUCUACCAACAAUAAAUCUCCUAAAGGUCCUAAGACAUAAAUUAGACUUGGAAUGAACCAACAUCAUAGGAGAAAAUACCGUGUAUUUGCUCCCCUCGAUGUUCAAAGACACUUGUGAAUGGACAAAUGAUAUAUGCUGCAAUCAGGAUCAUAAUUAAAAGAAAAAUGUUAAUUAGAAAAGACACAUAAUCAUGUAUGUAGAUUAAAACUUUUUACAACCAUACCUUAGGUGGGAUUUGCCCCUUCUCAAGAUAGCCAAUAUAAUCUGAAACCAUCGCCGCACUACUAGCAGAUGCUUUCUGAACAUGACAUAGGUAGGAACCAUAAGGGACACACUUUGCAAAUGGAAUAAUAAAAAUUAAACAACAAUGAAAAUAGUGGCACUUACAGAAAGAGUCCCUCCAAUUACAGACAGAUACCAAGGAGGCCUUUCAGUUCUAACUCGCAUAGCAAUUCUACUAUCCAACCAACCUGUGUGGAUUUUAUUUUCUCUGUAAUCUGAAGCCUACAACAUGUUAAAAAAACGUUACUUGGCAUGCCAUGAAAAUAUUAUGUCAUUUACAUUAUCUAUUUCAUUGAUUACGGUAUUGACUUCAUUCAGAGAUAUUGUGAAGAUUACAUGUAAAAGAUCAAUUGAAUAAUCCACAUUUGUUCGAAUUUCUCCUCGAAUUUGAAUUUCCUUCAGCCCAAGAACCAUAUUUGCAAUAGCUAGAGCUCGAGACUCUCCAAAUGCAAAAACAUGUCCUGGAGAACAAAACAUAUAAUUUGAGAUUUUAAAACUGUAUGGUCCUACAUUAUUUAGAUUGUCUUUGCUAUUACCGAAUAAAAUAGAAAAUUCAAAAAACUUAGCAGUAUACAUACCAAACUGAGAAUCUGAGAACUCAUGAAUCCCCCCUCCAGACUGCAAGUCAAAACAUCUAUCAGAAUUAGUUUGAGAAUUACAUCUUCCUUCUUUCCUCUUCUUUUCUGAGGAAAUGCAUUGUUAUCAACUUCCGAGAUUUUACCUUAACAGAAAAGUAUGCCCAAACAUUUGGCUUGCUUUUGAAACUCAGCUCCUGCAUAUAGUAGCUUAACUCAGUAUAGAUCCCUCAAAGCAUUAUGGGAAAGAAAGAAAACGUGAAACUGACGAGUCAUGAUAACAAACCUGAACUUUCCCACUAGUAGGUUUAAAGCCAUCAUCUGGAUCCUCACUUGUUACACGCACAGCAACACAAUGGCCCUUUGGCCUUGUAGAUUCUGCCUUGUCAAAGUCAAACGGGGUGGCAACAACCGACGUCUUUCUCCACGCAUCAUAUCCACUACCAUGUUCCAUUCCAUAGAACCGCCUUAUCUCUAAUCAAAUGAAUAAAUGGAAAAAGAAAACUUGACAAAUUAGAAGUUCGACUCAGACAAAUAAAUAUAUAUUUGAAAAAAAAAAACAGUUCCAGAAAAUAAGAUGAUACCAGGAAUUUGCCAGAGAGGAAUGCCCAUCCCAACUGCAACUUGGGCUGCUGGCAGAUUUAUUUCUGCUAUCCACUCAGUGACUGGGUGCUCCACCUACAUUGAAUUAAAUCUACAGAUUUAGCACGUUCAAAUUAAAUGUUUUGAGAAAAAGAUGCAAGAAUAGAAGCCAACUCAGUUUGCCCAUGGAUAGACAUUAGUAGAAGCUAUACAAAAUUCUUGCUAUCCUACUGAUCAUAUAAUUCCAAUCCCUUUCUAAGAGGUUGCAUUAAGACUGAUGGCUUGGUUAGUACAUAUAAAGCAUAGUUUCUUUUUAUGUUCACUUUAAUCACACACAAUACAUGUGUCACUGUAUUAUUCAAUAACCAAAACAAAUUUAAGAUGGUAUUUGAGAACAGUAAGUCAAAAUGAGACGGCAGCCAAAGUUAAGGCUUGAACCCAAAUAACACACCUGCAACCGAGGGUUCAACUCUAAGAAAUAGUACUCGCCAGUGUCCAUACUGUACAAAUACUCAACAGUUGCUGCUCCAACAUAAUUAACACAUUUAGCCAACCUUCGAGCUGACUGCUCCAACUUUUUAAUUGUCUCUGGUGGAGCUACAGUUAUUGGACCCUCCUCAAUAAUCUAUAGAAAACAAAACAAGAAAAGUUAUUCUUCAUGAGAAACAACUGCAAUAGCCAAUACAGUUCACAAAUAAAACAGAAUAUAAAAAAUAAAAAUAAAAACUUUAGAAUUAAAAGAAGAAGAGUACCCAAAGUCAAAUUAGUGACUAUUGAAACAUCAAAUCAAGUUUACUAGUCACAGCAAGAUUACCUUCUGGUGCCGCCUUUGAACACUGCAAUCACGACUGUGCAAAGCUGCAACAUUUCCAUGCUGAUCACAUAGUAACUGGACUUCUAAAUGUCGGCUCUGAUAGACAAUAAAUCAUUUGUUAAAUUGGCGAUAUAUGAACUGAGUCCAGCAAUUAUGCUCGUCUAUAUUAAAAUCAAUAGAGGUUCUAACCUGGGACGCGACUUUCAUUAUGAAUAUGGGAGAUCCAGGAACUUCACCCUGGACUUGCUUGAACAAUGCCCUAACUUCAUCAUCAUUAUGGACCUAGAGGUCAAACAUUUAAUUUCAGCCAAUUAUUCAAAAAGGGAGGACAAAGAUUCAAUCAAAUUCCUUAACAAGUUGGAUAAGCUAAUGAAACUCAUUUCAGGCUUAGUGAACGCGUUACUGCAUAUAAUAUCGUUUUUCUUUUUCUAUCCUUUUUCUUUUUUUUGGAUUUGGAGAAAACUUUUACCUAUAUAAGAUUCAAAGCUAGAUUACAACUUUAGUCAAGUAAAUAAUAUAAGUUCAAAAGAGAAGGGCAACACUGUCAUGCAUGAAGCAUACCUUUCUUAUGCCUUUACCACCACCACCCCAUGAUGCCUUAAUCAUGGCCGGGUAACCAACAACCUGACAACUUGCAAUUGCUUCCUCUGUUGUGUAAACGCAUGCUUCCCUAUAUAUUUCAUCUGGGAUUGUAACCAGGCAGCUCUCUGAAGGAAUUUUCACCUGGAAAUCAGAUAUUAAUGAUAUUAUAUGUGCGACAUAACUGCAAGAGAAACCAAAGGAAAAACAGGGCACAAAUUUCGGUGAAGAAAUUAUACAUGUGAUCCGCUCCAUGGAAGGGUAGGUACUUCAGCAGAUUGAGCAAUUAAUGAUGAACCGAUUUUAUCUCCUAAUGCUGCCAUAGAGACAGCUGGUGGCCCAAGAAAUAUUAUGCCCUUAGCAGUCAAUGCAUCUGGAAGCUCAGGGAUCUCAGAUGCAUGGCCCCAACCAGGCCACACUGCAUCAACAUGUGUUAUCUCUGCCAUCUGGGUAGUAAAGAACAAUGAAAUCAUUUGAAUCAAUAAUAAAUUUUACUAAACUGAUGAAAUGUUCAGAGCUACACAAGUAAUACAGCAUCUCGUGUUUUGUUUAACUUAUCAUGCUAUUUUAUAUUCCAUUGAGGUGGUAUGCAAUGAAGCUACUUUGGUAACAAGAAAUGCUCUCAGUUUGAGACAUUCAAUUGAUAACACACCCAAUGCAUUGGGAUAUAUAGAGUGUUUGAUGACAUUGUAAAAAUAAGCAUGGUUUACUGAAUUAGCUCAAUUUGCUUCACAUUUGGUAGCCAAUGAAACAAAGAGCCAGAAAAUCUGUUCAGGAUUGCAACCAUGUUAGUGAGGAAGUAUCUGCUGUAGAGGUCACAUACUUUGCCCAAGUGAACCACUCAUUUUUCGGAGUGACAGAUACAUCAAGAGAUAUAGUUCACAAGUAUACGAAUUCUGGAUGGCCCAUCAAUAGCCUCAUCAAUUGAAACUUCUAAUACAUUUUUAUAUUAAAUUCUUUAUUAAAUCCACUAACAAACAAAAAAAAUGUAAGAUCAAACCACUCAAACAUCUUUUAGCUAGAAGGGUCCUGGAUUUAUUGAGAUUUCUGCUUUCUGGUCAUACUUUCAUAGUAAUAAAAGAAAAAAUAUAUGUGGAAACACAUGAAAACAAAUGAGAGUCAAGAGCUUAGUACACACCUCUACAAUGAGCUGCACAUUGGCAUAGUUAUUAUUGUUAGUUCCACCAGGAACUUCCACAAACUGAUCAGCAAUUCUAAUGUGUUCUGCAUUGAUUCUCAUGUCUUCUGGUGUGGCCAUGGCCACCAACAAAACAGCCUUUUCUGUGCCAAAUGUUUCAUAAGCCCAUGUCCUCACACUACGUAUAAACUUGACUGCUGCCAUUCCAUUGUUUGCUAUUAAAAUGCUAUGGAUUGGCUUCUUCCCACCAAGGGCAUAGCAGAACUCCUCAACUGCAGGUGCCGCAGCAGGGGACCUGAUUGAUAGUCCCCCAUUUACGUACCCAUUAGUACGAGGAAUACUAACAGUUGAAAUCAAUCUCCUUUGAGCUUCUGACAUCCUGCAGGGAAAUAAAUCAUGUUAUCAACUUGGCCAAGCUAAUUUCAAGGAACAAAAUUAGAUAAAGAUUAUACACUUCAGUAACCAAAUAAGCUGUCUAGAAAAUAUUGAUAGAUUAAAGUUUCUGUAAUUGUGAAUUGAACAUGUCCUAACUUCCCCCCUUCUUUUCUGUUUUCCAUCAUUCAUAAAGCAAUCGACUCUACGAUCCUAUUUGCAAGAUAGCAGCGAAUGUAAACAUCAACCUGGUUAUACUUGGGCGGCCUUUCGAUACUUGCAUCUAAUUCUAUGCCAAUUAUGAACUCUAAUCUCAGCUGUAAUGCUUCACUAACCCAAGCUUAGGCACUUCAAACACAUCCUAAAGGUAUAGUCUUUGGGUGCAGUGUGGCAUAAACAUCGACUUCAAUCAAAAUAAGGCACUACCAAAAAGGAAAGAAACAAGGUGCAACUUUGUUCAACCACAAACUCCACAAAGGUGCAGACUUUGUUCCCAAAUUCACACCAAACACAACAAAGUCACAGUAUUUUGGAGUUCCCAAUACAAAUUCCAAUCCCAACUAUAACUGAACUACUUCCCAACUACUUGCACCCAUUAAAAAAAAAAAGACAGCAAUUUCAGAAAAAAGCAAAUUGCUUUAAAGGGUUAGAGGAAAUGGGUGACAGACCUUGAUGAAGAAAAUGAAGCAGGAGCAGCAACCCUGAUCGAAACUGCUUCAAAUUGGUAUCUGGGUAGCAAGCAUUACAAUGAAUCAAGAGAACCCAGAAUGCGUAUGUGAGAAUGUGAAAGGAAUGGUGAUCAUAGAGAGAGAGAGUGAGAUAUACAGAGAGAAAGAAUUCUAGACCCAAAUUUGAGUUUUUAAAUGAAUUGAAGAGAGGUAGGUGCGGGUUUGGGUUUGUAUUGCUAAGUUUUUAACGGCUUUAAUAGGAGUUGCACGUGGUAUCUGCCUCUGCCACACCAUCUUCCUUUGUUAGUAGUAACUCCCCAGCUACCCCCGCCCCUUCGGUCUCUCUCUUUCUCUGUUUCUCUCUCUAAAACAAUUCAAAGAUGAUGGAUGUGGGUCUCUCGUGUUCUUACUCCUCAAAUGAAUUUCCCUCGAGUUUUUGUGUUUUAAAUCCCCAAUUUGGGUCAUCAUGGUUCAUGAAUUUGGCACUUGCCGUGUGCCUUGAGCCCUUGACUGUGUGUUGGAUGGUGAGGUUAACCAACCAAACCUUCCCUCCCCCUUGUUCUGUCUUAUAUGAGUUCUAUGGGAUAAUGAUAUUGUUUAACUGUUAUGUAUGUAUACAUACUCAUACAUUAUAUUGCAAAGUUUUGUUAUUUGACAACAAAUCGGUGGCUUUUUGUUUGUUCAUUUUUCAAAAUUGAACUCGCACUAAAAGUAUGAUUUGUUUUGUACUAUUCUGUUAUGAUUUUGAUAUCACUCUAAUUUUAAUGAAUUGAUUUUCGUAACUGAAACAUGAUAUUAUAUCUUAAAAAAACAUUACAUACUCGAUGCAGUUUAUGAAUAAGCCACAAAUCAAGAAUAAAAAUAAAAGAUUGACACACAAGGGCACUCUUAAUGAUCUAACCUAAACCAAUUAAAUGUGACCGGCCGUUUCAAAAGAAACCACACACAACAUGUUGGACUGCUAACGAGUAUUCAGAUAUGUAGUAAUUGUUGAAGUAGUCUUGGGUUCAUAUGUUGCGAUGGAUGAAGUGGUCUAAACUCUUAUGUCACAUGUUGGUGGGAAGAUGGACGUGGCACUAGUUUGACCGGGUGAUCACAGCUGGGAGUUGGGUUGAUUAGGGCGGUUGUUGUUGGGCCCAAUCUUGGAAGGAUGGCUGAGCCGAACAAGACCACGAUUCCUAUUAGGUUGAGGGUGAUCAUGCUGCAUGCCCUUCUAGGUUAGUCCCCUCUGUGAAGGGCAGGGCCGGUCCAAUGUUUUGAAGGACCCGGUGCGAGAAAAAAUUGGGGCCCUUUGUGUUGAGAAAAAAAAACUUGAAAGAACACUGAUUCCAUUUUGAAGCCCCAGCCUCAAUUGCUUUCAAACCUCCAAGCUCCCUUCCUUUGCUUCUAAAUUUACGAACCAAUACAAGGAACAAGUUGUUAAAUUUAUUGUGUGUAUAUUUAAUUUAUGUAUAAAAUUAUAGGAAAUCAAAAGAAUACCUUUAGGGAAUAGAACAAGAGAGUUUGAGUGUAUAAACAAAGCCAAUUAAGAGAUAGGAGUUGGGAAAUUGAAGAUGAAGAUAGGAAGUAUGAGUACCAGGAGGAAACAGAGAGUAGAGAGACGGAGGAACAAUGAUCAAACCGAGGUGAUCAAUAAUUGAAUAAGGUUUUUUUAUUUUAGCAGGGGGCCUCGCUCGAACUACUGACCUGCUUGCCACAUCAAACAAAAACACUCCUUAAACCAACUCAACCAGACACCCAGUUUGUUAACAAAGAUAAAUUAUUAUAUAUAUAUAUAUAAACUUCCACUGGACAAAAAAAAAGAGGCCCCUUGCCGGCCGGGGGCCCUGUGCGGCGGCGCCGCCUUGACCACCCCAGGGCCGGCUCUGGUGAAGGGUACGGUAAUCCUAGAAGCAUUAUGAAUGUAUUGCAGUAUUGGAGAGGGGAGCUUCACAGGCUUGAAUCCUUACUUGCUAGCGUCUUAAUUUCUACGGUUACUUGUUAUGAUUGCAUCGAAGGCAAUUUAAUGUAGGUGAUACUUACUAUGUAUGCUUUGCAAUGAUAGACAUUUAAACUUUAGAAAGUAUAAAGUAGCUAGAUUGAAUAUAUGAACCAGUCUUCGAAUGAUGAUCGACAGAUAAGCGAUGUAGCUAGGUGGACUUUUAUGAGAAUAAUGUUGACAUUGAAUGAUGGUGUUAGCGGAUUAUGGUUGGGGGUUAGGUCCAUCCAUGCAUGCAUACUUACUCUUUAUAUAUCUAUCUUUCUUUCCCUCGUAUGUAUAUAUCAAAUGGAAAUUAUGAAGUCAUGGAAGACUCGCUAUCAAUUUACAAUCAUGGCAUAGACAGGAUGAUGUAAAGGGACUAGAAUAUAUAUUCAAGAACUUUUACGAUUAGUUAUGUCAAUUCGUUGUUUAACUUUAACAAGGGAAGCAAUAGCCUGAGCUACAAGUUGGUCUAGAUAGUUUCUCUACUUUUGAAUUACAUAGCUAGGGAAUAUGGUUCUCUACAUCCAUUUGUAUUAGGCAGGGCUAGCUAGAUGCCCAUUGUUCGCAAUUUAUAAUGUUAAGCUCAAUAAUAUCUAAUAGAAAAAUCAUUUAAAAAAAAAAUUACAUUAAGAAGCCUCUGGGACAACCAAUGUUUACAAUAUCAAAUAACAACGCUCUCGAAGUCUCAUGAAGAACCCUAUCAUUCCAAUACAAAGGUGAAUUACAAUAAUGCCUAAGAUUAGCUAUGACAUCUGCAACAUUCGCAACAGAGUCAGUUUCCUUGCAAACAUGCCUAAAAGUAAUAGGAUAAACUAGUAGUUAAGGUUCUGAUGUCUUGUACUAGUUUGAUUAAUCAACAAAGUGGCUCAAAAUGGCCAUUCACUCACUGCAUCUAUCUUUCUAUCACAAGCUUUGAAUCACUUUCAACUUCAACUCAGUGAGGCCCUUCUCAUUAGCUUUAAUAGAAAAAUCAUUGUGUUUACUAGAAUGUUUCAUACAAACUUCCCUAUCACCCAUAAUCUACAAAAGAAGGUUUCAUCCCCAUUGAAUUAGUAUGAAUUAGUAUAUUACCAGCCUAUCAACCAUAAGACCGUAGGAUUAAAGAACCGUACCUAAAUUAUAUAACUAGCUUGUGUGGCUGGAAACAAUGUCCCGUAUAUUGUCCAUGUUGUAUAUACAGCUUUCAUUUUCUGGGAAAUAACCUCACUUUGAAGCCUUAAUGUUUUUCUAUGCUUGCUGCCUACCUACUUGUGCAGUUAGGCUUCAACCUAGCUAGCUAACUACCCCCUCCAUUUCCAAUACCUACUCCAAAAACUUCAUCUUCUUUUUUUGGGGGUGAGACAAGUCCCUAUCGGAUCACUUAAACUUCUGUUCUUUUUCUUUCAUCAUCAAGUUGUUGCUGCUCUGUUCAAGACCCAUGCCAAGCCGGCUGGUGAUCUUGAUAGAAGAAAUUUGCUACCACAGAGGCAUGCACGGAUAGACUAAUUGCAGAACUCUUCUUCACGUACCUAUCGGUAGUGAAUUGAAGGAGGAGAAGGCUAGCUAGGUGCUUCUCCAGAAACUGCAACAAUUACUGAUCCUCAGGUUAUUCCUUAGGAGAAGUCAUCUCCGCCGGAAGUUCAAGCAUAGUGGAGAAGACAUACCCUGCGAAUUAGUAUAUGUAGAUGGGCUAGAUUAUGCAGCUGUGUAUGUUGAAACUUUUUCUUUUUGGGUUUGAAGUAUGUUGAAACUUGAGUCUUUUUUUUUUCUUUUAUCAAAUGGGUUGUCAUUUAUACGGAAGAAGUUACAAAUGGUAUGAAGAAUACAAUCGAAGCCAUUAAUGGACCACUUAAUGAAACAUUAGACUAAAAGGCAUGAUCCUAACGUCCUAACGUAGCUAUAUCUCCUCUACGUCAUAGGACUAGAAAAACGAUCAUCAAGAUUAGUGGCAGAUCCAGGAUAAAAUUGUCAUCCGAGCUAAUUGCAACGCAAAAAAAAUUUCACCGAAUCUUAACUGUACGAGAAACUUUUACAAAAACUAAUCAUAUCUUACGAAACGAGACAAAGCUAGAAAUGAUUGGCGACAUGCUUGGUUCUUCAGAUUUCUAUGGUGGAAUGGUGAAUGUUUUGGUGCUGCAAGAAGAUACAAACUUUAGAAGAAACUCCUCGAAGUGACUUCUUGAAAAAUUUAGAACUUAAGUAGCUACUUGGGGUAUCAAAUGUAUGGUUCACGUUGGUGCAAAUCCAAUCACCUCAACCAAAGCUCUUAUUUUCUAUUGAGUAAUAGUCUGAAAAGUCUUCUUAACUGCCAUGGUUUCCACCCCUCAACCAAAGCUCUUAUUUUCUAUUGAGUAAUAGUCUGAGUAAGUCUUCUUAACCGCCGUAGUUUCCACCCCUAAUAACAGUUUUGCGCACAAAGAAGAGAGACCGAUCAAGGAAACAAACACAGAUCGACUAGAUAACUUCAUGUCUGUCAAGCAUACUUGUUGUGCAUAUUGUAGUGAGAUAGACGUGAGGUAGGAGUUAGUUUUGAACUUUUGAUUAUGAUGUGAGAGUGCUAAUGGUUGUCGUAGUAUAUGAAGUUUGCUCACUAAUCAAAGGAGAGUGCUUAGGUAAAACACAUUGAGCUAUAUAUGAAGUCAGGUAGCUCACCAGCCAUACAUGAAGUAGUAUUUUUUUUUUUCCUUCAAAGAAUCUCACCUAGGCUUAAGCCCAUGUGAGCCAAUGGCUGGAUCCGCCACUGAUCAAGAUCAUAAGACUCAACCGACAGAUUGCCAAUGAAGUUGGUAAAGAAACGUCGGUAUUCUAACAAGACAGUGUCUUUUAUCGCUUGAAGGAUUAUGAACUUGAGUCGAAACUUGAGUCAUUGUUGAUGGAAAGUAAACAAUUAUAAGUUGAUGAUCCAUAUCACGUUUUCCAGCUUUGGGCAUUGGGGACCGUGGAUUGAGAUGAUCCAAUUUCCUCAUGAAAGCUUUACUUUUGAGGGUGACGUUGUUGAUGGUUUUGUUUGGUCACACAUUGUGUUGAUAACCUUUCGGUCCAACACGUCCUAACCUUUUGGUAAUAAUCAAUUUUUAUUUAGAUAAAUUUUAUAAAUUAAAAUAAAGAAAAAGAAAAGAAAAGAAAAAAUAUUUAUUUUUAUGACUAAUCUCAACCGUUAGUUGUUAUUAGAUCUAAUGGUUGAUAUUCUUGUUAUAAUUUUGAUUAUAAUCUUGUAUGUCACGGAUCCGCCCCAUAUCCGCUAAAAGGACAAAAUUAGAUAGGUAAAAUAUUGUAUAGUUCUUUUGGUUUGAAGUUAACAUUUGUUUAGUCCUUAUAAUUUUAUUUUAAUCUGAAUAGUCAUUAAAGUCACGAUUUUUCAUCUAAAUAGUCCUUAUGGUUUUAUUUUAAUCUGAAUAGUCCUUAAAGUUAUGAAUUUUCAUCCAAAUAGUCUUUAUGGCCUUUAACUGAGAAAAUUGUCAGAAGAAUUAUUUGGAUGAAAAAUCAUAACUUUAAUGACUAUUCAGAUUAAAAUAAAACCAUAAAGAUUAUUUGGAUGAAAAAUUAUGACUUUAAGGACUAUUCAGAUUAAAUAAACCACAAAACUAAACAGAUGUCGNNNNNNNNNNNNNNNNNNNNNNNNNNNNNNNNNNNNNNNNNNNNNNNNNNNNNNNNNNNNNNNNNNNNNNNNNNNNNNNNNNNNNNNNNNNNNNNNNNNNNNNNNNNNNNNNNNNNNNNNNNNNNNNNNNNNNNNNNNNNNNNNNNNNNNNNNNNNNNNNNNNNNNNNNNNNNNNNNNNNNNNNNNNNNNNNNNNNNNNNNNNNNNNNNNNNNNNNNNNNNNNNNNNNNNNNNNNNNNNNNNNNNNNNNNNNNNNNNNNNNNNNNNNNNNNNNNNNNNNNNNNNNNNNNNNNNNNNNNNNNNNNNNNNNNNNNNNNNNNNNNNNNNNNNNNNNNNNNNNNNNNNNNNNNNNNNNNNNNNNNNNNNNNNNNNNNNNNNNNNNNNNNNNNNNNNNNNNNNNNNNNNNNNNNNNNNNNNNNNNNNNNNNNNNNNNNNNNNNNNNNNNNNNNNNNNNNNNNNNNNNNNNNNNNNNNNNNNNNNNNNNNNNNNNNNNNNNNNNNNNNNNNNNNNNNNNNNNNNNNNNNNNNNNNNNNNNNNNNNNNNNNNNNNNNNNNNNNNNNNNNNNNNNNNNNNNNNNNNNNNNNNNNNNNNNNNNNNNNNNNNNNNNNNNNNNNNNNNNNNNNNNNNNNNNNNNNNNNNNNNNNNNNNNNNNNNNNNNNNNNNNNNNNNNNNNNNNNNNNNNNNNNNNNNNNNNNNNNNNNNNNNCUUUCGCUCCUCCGCCAACUGAUGCCAUUUGAAGUAACUUUCCAAGCUGUGUAGCCAAUCAAGGAAUACCUCAGGAUUGUUGUCACCAUUGAAAUCAACAAUAUCUAAUUUUAUGCCCCCUUUUUUGAAGCAGACUGUCUUGACUCUCCACGCCUAGAGUCUGAUCCUGAAAAUGAAUCCUGACCACUGUCUUUUGAAUUCUCCUUAACCAAGGCAGACAUAUACUGAAAACCAUGUUCUAAAGAAGUCAGUUUUUCAAGCACCUCCUGGAACAUCUUUUUUUGGCAUUCAGAUUCUUGAGACAAACUGUCCACUUUGGAUGAGAGCUCUGCGUUAGUAACCAUUGUAGUGCUCAGGGUAAGGUGAAGGUAAAAAAAUAGGAUGUUUUGGCUCUGGUACCAAAUCUGAUGCAGGGAGCAGUAAGAGAUAGUGUGAUGCCAUUUGUCUACCAAAUGGUGGCUCAUCAGAUUUGGUAUCAGAGCCACUCUGCCGUGUGGUGCGAGUGUGCCGACGAGGGCGUCUGACUCCCAAGGGGGGUGGAUUGUAAUAUCCCACAUCGGCCAAACGGAGAGGGGUUAUGUGCUGUAUAUGUACAUGCCCACCUCCAAUCUAACACGAGGCCUUUUGGUGGCUCAGCGGCUUCGGAGGGGAUGGGUACUCCGAGGUUAAGCAUGUUGAUGCUAGAGCAAUCCCCAAGAUGGGUGACCUACUGGGAAGCUGCUCCUGAGCUGCCGGAAACAAAACCGUGAGGGCUGGUGGGCCCAAAGCGGACAAUAUCGUGUUACGGCGGAAUGGGUCCUGGGAUGUGACAAAUUUGGCUCCCAGAAGGAUUUGGUAUUCCAUUUGGCUCUGAAGUGACAAAUUUGGCUCUUGGCCAUCCUAACCUGGGAUUUGGAGUACCCAUCCCCUCCGAAGAUUGGCGUAGGAGUAACAUUUUCCAAACCCGUGUUCGAUGCAGUAAUCAGUUGUGCACCCUAGUCAUAGAUGGAGGGAGCUGCUCUAAUAUCAUCUCUGAAGAAGCUGUUCGCAAACUUGGGUUGUCUACCGAACCACAUCCAAAUCCUCAUAAGGUGGCAUGGGUAAACAACACAAAUCUCAAGGUCAAUGAUCGUUGUUUGGUGACCUAUUCUAUUGGGAAGUUGGUUGACACGGUAACCUGUGAUGUGCUGCCCAUGAAAGUGUGUCAUAUUCUUUUGGGCCGACCAUGGCUAUAUGAUAAGAAGGUGCAGCAUUGUGGCUACAACAACACAUAUUCCUUCCAAGAUGGAAGUCACGAGUUCAAGCUCGUACCAUCUAAAGAUUUGCCCACCAUAAAGCUCAAAAAGACAGCUGGCACGUUCCUCCUUAAGCAGACCGAAAGUGAUGACUCUAUACUUGGUCCAGUUCCAAACUCAACCAAGUUGAGUUCUUUUCAGAGGGGGAGAAUUAAUGGAGCAGCCAUAAGCUGGCUGGAACAGAAAUAUCCUCUUUGGAAGCCAAAGACUAAGCCCAACCAUUUUUGGUCCAAAGGAAAGUCUACUUGGUAGUUAAGGGUAUUAACAGGUUUAUUUUCAGUUACAAAAUUUACUUUCAGUUACAAAAUUUACUUUCAGUUAUGAAAAUAAUAAUUAUGAGUCUAGUGUUUUAAAGAGUCUUGAGUGUGUCUUUAUGUCUCUUCAAGUCUUAAGUAUUUAAGAGUCUUAUUAUUAAUCAGUUAUAUUAGUCUUAUGGUAUUCUGGGAGUCUAAGGGUUUUACGUGAAGCCUAUAAAUAUGGCUUUCUAAUGUAAUCCGGGGGCAGAUUGGAAUGAAUUAAGAGUUUAUCUUUUGAAGGCUUGGCCUUGUAUCCUCUCCCCUAACCUCCCUUAUUCUAUUUCUCCCUUCUUCAACUAAGAAACUCCUGUUUCUCUUAAAAUCCUUCUGUUUCCUAUAAUCUCUCAACAGUCUCCAUCCCACCCUAUUCACUCUCACACUAUCUCUUGCUGCUCCCUGCAUCACUAGUUCAUAUUCAUUUAUUUUUUUUUUUGAGAAUGUCUAGUUCAUAUAUUUUUUUAAAUUUUUUAUUAAAUAACUCACACACCCUACAUAUGUCAAUGAGGUUUGAACCAUGACGUCAAAGUUGUUAGCUAACCACUUUAACCAACCACCUUAACCACCUUAAUCAUGAUCGUCUAGUUCAUAUUCAGUAUAGGGAAAUUUUAUUAAGAAAAAAAUUCAUUUUACCCCCUAAAUCUUUGGUGCCAAAAUCAGUUUAGUCCUGCAACUUUUUUUUUAAAUCAGUUAGCCCCUUCAAUUUUCGUAAACACAUCAGUUGGUCUAAUUUUUGAAUUCUCCUCAAAAUGUGAUGUCAACGAAGCUGUUGGAACUGACAAAGGGACCCAUAAUUCAGCUUUAUUCCCUCAUUUUCAACGAAAUUUCUGAAAUACCCUCAUUGUUUUUUUUAUUCAUUUUGCCAAAUAGAUUCAUUUUUUUUAUCUUCUUUAAUAAUAUUUUGUCAAAUUGGCUAUUUUACCUUUCUGAUAAAGAAAUUUUUCAUUGCUCCCGAAAGACCACAUGACAAUCUGACGUGAUCCUCAAUUCCAUUUAAAUUUUGACAUGUGGAUUUUCAUGACGAAAAACAAUUUUAGCGAUUUUGUCAAAUAUCAUUUUGGGUUUCAUGUUGAUUUUUUAAAUCCUAAUCCCUAAACCUUAAACCCUAUACGCUAUACCUAUACCCUAAUUAUAUAUCCUAUACCCUAACCCCUAAACCUUAUACCCUAAACCCUAGGCCAAACUCAUAAAAAACCUAAGACGGUCAUUUCACAAAAUAUAGAAAACCUUAGUUUAUAUUUUAGUUGUAAUAAAUCCAUGUGUUAAAAUUUAAUUGGCAAGGGAGGAGCACGUCAGACUGCCACGUGGUCUUUCGGGAGCAUUUAAAAUUUUCUCCUUCUGAAGAGGGAUAAAGCUGAAUUAUGGGUCCCCUUGUCAGUUCCAAUAGCUUUGGUGACGUCAUAUUUCAAGGGGAAUUCAAAAAUUAGACCCGAUUGAUGUGUUUACAAAAGUUAAAGGGGUGAACUGAUUUUAAAAAAAGUUACAGGACUAAACUGAUUUUGACACCAAAGAUUUAAGGGGUAAACUGAAUUUAAUCUUUUUAUUAACAUAUGUGGAUAUGCCUAAAUGCUAGAUACACAUCUAUUUCUUUGUACAAAUUAUAUAAGACUUUGUGAGUCUGUAAAAUUACUAAAAUAGACAUUUAUAUCAAAAAUAAAGAAAAUAUCUCGCUUAAGACAUUCAUAUUAAUUAUUGUACUUCUAACAUUUUUUAAUUUUUAACUUGAAUCGAGUACCAAUAUUUUGACAUCACAUAUGAAUACUAUGCAAUGGUUCCCAAAAUCGAUUAAUUUAGUUCUACACAAGAUUGAGCAUUCCAAUGCGCUAAGAGUUCUGUUAAGAACUUUAGUGAUGUAUUGUCUUGUUUUGUUUUGAUUCGUUAGACUCAAGAAUUCCUGAAAUCAGUUUGAGUAAAAUUAAGGCUCUUUAAGAAUAAAUUUUGUCGAGGAAAACUGAUGGAAGAUGAUGUUAACAAAAGAAAAUCCCUUGAGGAAGAUCUUAACAAGGUGAAACCCUUUAAAAACCUUCGAGGAAGAUGUCAAUGAGGUGAAACAGUACGAGGAAAGAUAAAACAUUUUGAGAAAAAUCUCACUAACGUGUACCUUUUUUUUUUUUUGAAUAAAUUGAGUAGCGGAUCUUGAAAAGUAUGUGUAUUUACUAUUUAGUGAAUAAGUUAUGUACUCAAAUAAGGGUAUUAUAAGAAGUUUGAGUAUGUGUAUCUAGUAAAAUGUUAAAACAAUAAAAUUAAUAGGUGGUGUAUUAAGUACGAGAUAUGUAUCUAGUAAUUAGAGAUGUGUUAAUAAAAUUGAUUUCUCUCUCUUCAGUAUAACAAUAUCAACACAAAAAAAAUGCUCUCUCUCUCUCUCUNUCUCUCUCUCUNCUAUNUCUACNNUANCUCNCGUACUACUUACGUAACUACUACGUACGUACGUAACUACUUACUCGUACUAACGUAACUACGUACUACGUCGUACGUACGUACGUACGUUACGUACGUACGUACGUUCUUACUACGUACGUACGUACGUACCGUUACCGUUACGUUACCGUACGUACUUAACGUACGUAACGUUACGUACGUAACGUACGUACGUACGUACGUACGUAACGUUACUUACGUUACGUUAACGUACUUACGUACGUACGUACGUACGUUACGUUAACGUUACGUUACGUUACGUUACGUACGUACCGUACUACGUACGUACGUAACGUACGUACGUACGUACUAACGUACUACUACGUAACGUACGUACGUUACGUUACGUUUACGUUACGUUACGUUAACGUACGUACGUACGUACGUACUACGUACGUACGUACGUACGUACGUACGUACGUACGUACGUACGUACGUACGUUACGUACGUACGUACGUACGUACGUACGUAGUACGUACGUACGUACGUACGUACGUACGUACGUACGUACGUACGUACGUACGUACGUACGUACGUACGUACGUACGUACGUACGUACGUACGUACGUACGUACGUACGUAACGUUACGUUAACGUUAACGUUAACGUUAACGUUAACGUUAACGUUAACGUUAACGUUAACGUUAACGUUUAACGUUUAACGUUUAACGUUUACGUUACGUUACGUUACGUUACGUUAUAUAUAGUAGUAGUAGUAGUAGUAGUAGUAGUAGUAGUAGUAGUAGUAGUAGUAGUAGUAGUAGUAGUAGUAGUAGUAGUAGUAUAUAUAGUAGUAGUACGUAGUAGUAGUAGUAGUAGUAGUAGUAUACUACUAUAUACUACUACUACUACUACUACUACUACUACUACUACUACUACUACUACUACUACUACUACUACUACUACUACUACUACUACUACUACUACUACUACUACUACUCUCUCUCUCUCUCUCUCUCUCUCUCUCUCUCUCUCUCUCUCUCUCUCUCUCUCUCUCUCUCUCUCUCUCUCUCUCUCGUCAAACCUAUGGGAGUGACGGCGGGCAUGCUUGAUGGUCCUCUCUAUAUACAUGUUUCGUCAGUUUUCCUACUGCUUCUGUUGGGGCGGUUGCUAGCGGCCCCGAUACAUGCUUGGUGAACUAGAUCUGGUUUCGUGUUGGAUGAUACACGAAGUUAAAGGCUUUGGUUUCUAGUGGUGAUAGAGAGAUUGAUGGUAGCUGGAAGGACGGUUGUUUCCUUCAAAUUGUUAUCAAGGGCAGUGGAAUUGAGGGUGAGGCAGCGAUGGGUGACCCUUGCGUGGUGGUUCAGGAUGGGGUUUAUGUGACGGUAUUGCGGGACGGUAACAUCAGCAUUUGGAUUGACGGUGAAUGGAAACCUGGAGAUUCUUUUCUUCUUCCUCACGUCGUCACUAUGGUUGAUGGCACAAUGCUGGGAGGGCUGGAUCACCUCCUUGGUUAGGCUGUUGAUGGUAGGUCUCACAAUGUUGGGGGGAUAGUAGUGGUUUCAGGGUGGGGUGCUAGCGGCGCUACACGGUGGUUGAUGGCUGCUAGGGUUUCCAUCAAGGCGACAUUGGCUAGGCUUUGCUGGGCUUGGGUAGUUUUUUUUUUAAUUUUAUUUCUUUUUUGGGUUCAUAUCAUUUUUCGUGAAAUGAUAUUGAGUCUUUUAUUAUCUUACUUUGAGCGAAAGAGUAAAGACUUGGUGGUCGUCCCUUAAUUGGGACUAAUAUUUUAUUAGCUGGGCUAUAUAAUUUUUUUGUUUUGGGCUUCAUACAAGAAAGUGGGUGUACUAGGAGAUUGCUAGUAUAGUUUGCUCUUUUUUUUGUGGAUUUGUAGUAGUUUCUACAGAACAGUUUCCUCACUGAGAGGGAUCGUUUUUGUACUGCUUGUUGAGCUAAUAAAUGAUGACCUCUUAUAAUCACAAAAAAAAAAGGUUCAUAUUCAGUAUGAUAAAAAAUAAGUAUGACGGUAGAAUGUCGUUUAAACUAGAAGCCAUAGAUAGGAAAUUGAUGAGACAAAAAGAACGAACAACAAUAAUAUAUAUCACAACCUUGUGCCUAGUAAGAGACUCAUAACAACAAUGCAGCACCGAGCAUAUUAAGAGCAGUAAGGGCAAGUUUAGCAGAUAUUGAAUACGCUCCCGAGCUUGGAGAUGGUGCUGGAGAUUGUAUAGGAGCUUUGACAACUGAGGGUGCAGGAACUAUAUUGAACUUCGGAUGUGAUUUUGGAGAUGGACUCCCCCAUUUUGGAGACAUUGCUGCAAUCAAAAAUUUGUUAUUAAGAUCAGCAGUAGUCGUCUCUAGCUUCCUCAAUAUCUAACAUGUUAAAUGGCUGAAAUUGUGAAUCAUAAACGCAGAUAUAAGGAUAAUGAUUCACAUUUUAAGAACAUAAUAUGACAGAGAUAUAUAAAACUCUAACUUGGUCAAUAACACAUAACCUCCAAUAGCCUCUUGUUGUGUUAAAUGAUCAUUCAAGGUUAUAAGAAUACAAUUUGUUAAUGAUUCGAAGUAAAAUUUGCAGAAAUUAGUUAGCAUAUAUAUUACCAGGAGCAGUACCAGGAGGCAUAGGAACUGCAAAACAAAAGUAAUAUAUCAGUCUAAAAGAACACUAUAUAAACUUGGCAUGCAAGUAUAGUCUUACCGGCAUAUAGUUCAUAUUCACAAUCCAACAACAACGUAACAUUUUCGUGGCAUUAAUUUGUUCCGCCAGUGAGAAAUGAUGAACAAAAUUACUAACCAUUACAAUUAUCUAGGGGAGGAGCAUUCUUGAUCCCACAAGCUGAAGAAAGAGUCAUGGCCUUUGUCAUAUUCAAACGGAUACCCAUGGCAGCAGUACCCUCAAAGGAUUGACAUACGCAAACAGGACCACUUUUGACAACAGUUUCAUAUCCAGAGCAGCAUGAACGUUCCGGCGAUGUGGUUUGAAUUCCUUCACUCAAAAAAGGGAUGCAAUCUGACAUUGCAUAAAUCGCCUUCGUGCAAUCUGGGCUUGAUGGUGAGGUUGAUGGUGCAGUUGAAGAUCUCAUUUCAUCUGUUUCUGGAUUUAAAGGCUGAACAUGAGGGCGUGCACAGUUUGCCAAAGCAGUCCAUGUGGCCAAAAUGAACAAAAGGAAAACGAUUCUUGUCAUCUUUUCGUUAAUUUUCUUGAUGAUACUUUUCACUUGGUGAAGAAAAUCAGCAAUGUUCUUUUGAGUUCUGAAUGGGGUGAGAAUUAAAGUUUUUUUCCAUUUGACAUUCCUAGAAUGGCUCAGGUAGUUUAGCAUUAAUGGAAGAUCAGUUAAUUAAGACCUAUUCCUAACCUUGGUUUAGGCAUAUCUAGCUCCUAGACACGGUCUCUAAUUUGUUUAGCAACUCUUGUUGAAGAUUAGAGUGACACCCGCACAUACAAACACAUAUAUGAUUAAUUCACAGAUUAAUUGAGCUUAAUUAUUAGAGCAUUUCUAAAUUAAGAAAACGAGUAUGCUCACAUUGUCAGCAAGUAACUGACCAAAAAAAUUUAUAUUACAUUAUUGUAUCCGCUUUCUGACAUCGAUGCUCUUUGAUGGGUUCAUCCGAGCCUCUCUCUCCAUCUUUAAACCCAAGUAGUGAGCUAUUUUGAAUAAGCCAUUAGUAGGUUUUCCACAUUCAAAGCACUUGUGGUUGUCUAAAUGAUGCUGGUCUGCACAGGGCCUGCAGAAGUAAUGCUUGCAUGAAGUUUCAACAGGUUCAAUAAAACGCCGUUUGCAGAUGGCACAAGUAGAGGGCAAUGAGCUAUUAUCAUAAGUCUGGCGCAUCCUCUCCUUACUCAAAGCAGCUAAUCUCUGGAUUGCUUCAUCUACUUUCUCUCACUCCCACCCCCGGCCUAUGUUCCAGUUCUGACAUUUUGUCCCAAGAAGAACUCGAAGACAGGUCGACAACCAGAGCAAGCCUAACAAGAUAGGGUCUCUAACUGCGUGCUGAUUCAGUACUGGUUUUAGGGUACUUAUUCCUUUUAUAUAUUAUGGCUGCGAGUGACAAACAAGAUUUGGUUAAGAAUAUUAACACAGUGGAGUCUAACAAAUGGAGUUACAAUCACAAAUACAUGCCCGGAUGUCAGAAUAAAGAGCAAGUCAAAGUAACAACCGUGAGCGUUUUUCAAAGUAGUGCAAAUUAAAACACACUUGAAAGUAACAGAGUAAGAUUACAAUUGAGUUGCUUCAAAUCAAAGGUUGGAUUUCUGGUGACUCGCACAGCAACCACAUGCAGUUACAUAAUGAAACACACAAUUCCUGGAGAUAAGGAAACUCUCGGGCGCCGACCUAAAACUCUAGAAUUGAGAAUGUUUGGAAAUCGUAGCCUCUACACAGAAAACAAUUUAUAUAUUAUAUGAAAACCUUAGAUUCUUUUGGGCGAAGAGGAUUGUGUUCGUUUCCAGUGAAAUUUCUGUAAUAGAAACAAAACCUUACAUUCAAAAUCGAGCCCUGAAUAAAAAUCAACACCGAUGGUCCUACAUCCAAACCUACCGUAACCAACUCGAGAUUCUUCAACAAUAAAAUUUGGGGGGGGAGGGAUAACAUCACUAGCUGAAUCAAAGCCGUGAGAAAGGAACUAAUUACACGACGACAGUAAACUGUUAGGAUAUCCUACUGGGCUUAGGAAAAGUCUAAGGGUGGGCUUUCAGCUGUUGGGUCUGCACAGUUCGUUAGUAGAAUAUGAUAUUAAUGUACCAUAUAUACAUCUUGCAACUCUAAAAACUUGAUGUAGUGAUGAUAUUAGUAUAUUUGACAAACGAUUGAUUCAAAAUGUGAUCAAAGGACAGCCAAAGGAUAUUAUGCGGACAAAUUUAUUCACUUUCAAUAUGUACGUCGUUAUAAAUGUAAUCAUCUAAUGAUAGAAUUAGGUUUUUUCUUUCUAGUUUAAGAUCUUGUACGAGGUGUAUUAUAUGUUCAUUUGUAAACAGAACUAGGUGGGACGGGAAUCUCUAUUAUCAUGCAAAGAUGAAUUGAAGCCAAACACGUACUUGUCCAUUAACAUAAAUGAACAUGAUGGACAAGCCCUUUUGUUUGUUGAAUCUCUCUCUACGAUGUGCUGGCUAAUCUGUACAACUUGUGGUUGGAUUUUACUCUGUGAAAGUGUGUAGUAUGCAUUAUGGGCACCCUCAGCAUAAAUUCCAGAAACUUUUGAGGAGUCGGGGUCCCCUAUCGAACUAUUGUUUGAGGUUUGAACCAUCAUUGUAGCCAAUAAUCGAUCGAUCUUCAACCACCCGGCCACUGUCCUCUCAAUUCGAUUGUAUUCACAAAUCCAAUAAUGUUUUGGGGACACAAGUAAAGUUUCAUGACCUAAAACUCCAUAGGAUUGACCGAUUGAGGCCGGAUUGUGUAAGUUACCUGCACAGAUAAAGCAACACCAAAUAUAUAUAUUCGAUCCUAAGAAUUUGAACUUGAACUGUCUUAGACGUCUCUGAGUUUACAGCUCUCUUUCACGGGUUGUCUUGUAAUCGUAGCAGCAAAAACGAUUCAUCAGUUUGGAGCUAAUGGAAGCUGCGGAGAUGUGCAGCCUGAGUUCUUCAUUCAAAACUGUGUCUGCAUUCCUCAAAUGGAACAUGUCUGUACGUUCUAUGAUUAUUACUUUCCUCAUGCAGAGUAAAACUAAUAGCUCGAUCGCGAACAUUUUAUUUGAUUCCGACAAAGAGGCUCCUUCACUCUUGUUAAACCCUAGACAGCAGUCGACACUUUAACAUGCUUAGGUUUUGGUAAUAUCGUAUAGGUCACAUCAUAUAAUUUCGUGCGCUCAACCCCAUUUGUCUCCUAAUUAAAAGCUGAUAAUUAUGAAAAGCAAGAGAAAUUAUUCAUCCCAAUUAACAAGAAAAUAAGUGGAGGAUAGUGUGAGAAAACUCUUCCAAAAACCACAAAUGUCCAUUGCCUCCACCAAGAGUUGCUGUACGUCUACAGAGUGGGCACACAAACAAUAAAGUAGGAAGGCGCCCUCCUCGAAACCAAAAAAAUGUAAAUGAAAACCAGUGGCUUGACGUCGACCUUCGACCAAACCCUGCAACUGGGUUUCUUAGAUGUCAAGCUAUUAAUGGCUCUGGCCUAACCCUAACAGGUCCUUUUCUCAUUCAUCUCCAAGAAAUAAUGAACAAUCAUUUUGGUGGGAAAUUUACGCUGUAUCUUCUUCCCAGCAAUCAUUGAAGCUCAGGAUAUAGAAAACCCUUCUUUGGUUUAACCUUUGUACCAAGAUUUUCUGUGGUUAAGAGAAUCCAUGUAACUCAGCUGAUAGGAUCAUAAUGCAAAAAAUAAAUCAAUUAACGAGCACCUGUGUCGCCUUUACAAACAAGCUCCAAUCCCAGCUGGUUGGACCCAUGUUUUUGGGGUCAUUCCAAAGUGAGGCCCUGAGAGGAACAUGAUUGUUAUGCUUUAUAUUGCUUGGUCUCCAACAAUGUUCUUUUAAUUUAUUUGGAUACAUCUCCGACUAAGUUCUGGUUCAGGACUUGAAAUACUUUGAAAAGACUUACGUUAGUAUUUAACCUAAAUCGUGUGCCUGCCUUUCUUUCAAUUGGAUUUAAUUUGAUGGAUCAUUCCUACCUUUCUUAGAUUGCUGAAUUGAGCAAACUGAAUUGCUAUAUAUAAAAUAAGGUCUAAGCCCUAUAUAUGUAUAGAAAUAUGUGGGAGUUGUCUAGUAAUAUGAUGGUGAUGAUUGGUUGGGAUCUUAAGACCUGUAGGCUAGGGUUCAUAAGAUUAAUUAAGACAUCUCACAUACAUACCUUUAUGGAUUUAUUACCACACUUAAUGUACGUGUAGCCAGUGAUUGGUGACUACAUUACAUUAAAGGGAAAUUUUAUGGUACCUACCCGUAUGUGAUACCUAUAUUUAUAAAUGUGAUAACAUAUUUGUAGUCAAAAUGGUAAUGCUGGGUCGUAUUGUUUGUAAUUUUGUUCUAAUAAUUGUAAUUACAAAAUGUACAACCAUUUUACAACUUUUUGAACAAAUUGUUCUCAUACUUGUAAUUUUGUUUAACUUCAUGUAAAUAAUGUAAAUAAAUUUGGUAAAUUUGUUCUCAACGUUGUAAUUUGAUUCAUAACAUUGUAAUUUUUGUUCAAGUACAUGUAAAAUAAAAGUAGGAUAUACAUCCCAGUACCAUAGCUUGUCUCUACAUUAAAAUUGAAAGGUUAGGAAAGUACACACUACCAGGACAAGCACUUUACCCGACGAAAAAAUUUCGUCGGCCUGUUAGCUUAAUUCAUCGGCUAAGAUCUUACCCGACGAGCAUUCGUCGGCUAUAGUUUCAUCAGGAAAGAGUCGUUGGCGAUGAAUUUAACCGAUGAAACUAGAAAACGUCGUCGGCUAUUGUCCCAGAAUUUAGCCGACGAAUAUCUUUAAUGUUUCGUCGACCAUAGUCUGAUACUUUUGCCGACGAAACAUUUAAGAUAUUCGUCGGCUAAAGUAUGUAAUAAAAAAUUAAAAAAAUAAUUAUAGCCGACGAAAUAUAGUCUGUUUCGUCGGCGUUAGAAUUGUUUAGUCGACGAAACAUGUCAUAAUUCGUCGGCUAAACCUUAUUAAAAAAAUUAAAAAUACUAUAGCCGACGAGUAUCUUACAUGUUUCGUCGGCUAUAAGUCCAUUCCAGUAAAAAAAAAAUACCUGAAAUUUCUAAAUUAUCAUUCCAAGCAAGCUGCAAAAUACACCAAAACAAUUUCAUACAUAUAACCAACAACAAGCACAUAAAACUAUAUAAUUGAUCAACUACACAAAAUCUAGAUUGUCUAAAUCAAUAUCCGAUUCUGGGGGCUGCUGCUAAGGAGUUUGUGGCGGCUGAGGUAGCGGUAGAGGCGUAGGCAUGGGCGGAGCUGGAAGUCCCUGAAGCUGGGCAGCUGUAAACUCUUGCAAGUACUGGAACAUCUACUGCUGCUGGGCCUACUGGGCGGCAUAUACCGCGGCAGUAUAAGCUCUCUGGUCGGUGAUCUGGGCGACAUGAGUGGUAGCCUGAGCAGCUUGCUGUUCCCGUAGUCUCUCAACUUCCGACUCUAGCUAAGUUGUCCUGCUGCUGGUCGAGGCUGCCUUUCGUUGAAAUCCUGGAGUGGUCUUCAGGACCCCCUCGCCCUUUUUUCCUAAACCCCGGCAGUAGAAGUUGUUUUCUCGUGGUGGGAGGGCUGUGCCCAUUAUCCUCGCUCCAACCCUCGGAUCUGAAGUGUCGAUCCGGGACAUGGCUUCGGACAUCUCUUCCUCUUGCGUGUCAGGCCAUGUCUCCUUCACUAUAGCACUCAUCACCUCGUCACUAGCCUCCCUCACCUUCGCCUAAUUGGAUAGGAAAAAAAUGAUUAAUUAACAUUUUGACAUAUAUAUAAGUAAAAUUAAAAAUUUAAAAACGUAAGAUGACUUACAAUAUCCUCCUAGGCGUCAAGAUAUGCCUUUUCGUACGUAUAGACGUACCGGUUGACUUCUGGAUGUUCCCUGGCCGCCUCGUCCAUGAAGAUAGCGAACGGUCUAGAACCGGCACGAUGGUUCCUUGUGUUGCGUUGCCGGUUCUAAGCGUUCGCCCGGGAAACGGUCUUCAAAGAAAAAAAUAAACUAUUAGUAAAAUAUUUAAAAACGGACGUACUUAAUGACAAAUUAACUAAUUAAUUUUUUUAAAUACAUGUUUACGAGGGUUGUUGAAUUCUGAUGUCAAAAACCAACGCCACUCGUACUCCCUGUACUGGAACUCAGCAGGGGUAUCAGAACGUGCGUUCUCGUGCGUAGUCCAGUGGGUCCACAACUCGUUCUUCCACUCCUUGUACCUACAGAUACAACAAAAAUAUUAGAAAUAUUAUUAAUAUCACAUACAAUUUUGUUUUUUCAUUAACUUCCCAACGUAACUUCCCCCAUGCACAACGUCCGCCCAGCUGUUCUUCAAGUGCUCGGGAACCUCAAACCACCCCUGCAUUUAACCGUUUAUUAGUUUAGUUUUUCGAGAAAUCAACAAUGUAAUACAUAAUAUUAUUGAGGCGUUUUGUAAACUCACCGACAUCGCGUUGUGGACCAUGUCUUUAACCUCAUGCGGGACCUCGCCCCAGUCUGACCACAACAUAGGGACUCUAUCUCUAAUGAGCGCUUCCACGCGGCCGGAGUACGUCCUCGACUUCCCGCCCGAUACUAUGUGGCCAUCCCCGUCAGUACCGAUGACGAUCCUCCUUGUGGUACUGACGGUCUUCUCGAAAGCCUUCCCUGUGACGAGGUCUCUCUUCUUCUUUGUCGGCUUCGCUCCGACGGUGCCUAUCACAUGAUAAACCAAAUUGAUUAUUAAAAUCAGAGACCCUUUAUUAUUAAUUAUAAGAAAACAAAUCAUUCAUCUUUCAUUACCUGAGGGCGAUGCGGCGGACGUGACGGAUUCCGUCUCUGUCGCCGAUGAUGAUACCCUCGCGGAAAUAAGAGGCGUAUCAAAAGGCACGAACUGGUACGCCGUUGAUGGAGCCACUGGCGGGGGCAGUGGAUAAAUCGACGUCCCUGAGCCAUCAACUCCAGGUAAGGCCGGUAUCAUCCGCGGAAGGAACAGAUGAGGCGGCGGCAUCUGUACCCCAUCUGACCCACCAUCCGAAGCAGUAGGACCCGAAGUGGGCGCCCAGUGUAUCUCAAGCAUACGGGGUGCAGACACCUCCGUCUGGGUCUGAGGCCACAGUUGCCUCGAGGAACUAGGGACGACCGGCUGCCUCGAUGAAGGGGACACCUCCGGCUGCCUCGAGGAAUGGGAAACGCUCGGCUGCCUCUGUGUCGUCUCCAGAAGGGUCGCACGUCUGGCUGUCAUGGGGCCUUAAAACGACGUUUGAGGGUUGCUAGAGGUUCCCUUAGACGAUUCAGACCUUUGGCCCUUCGAACCCUUCGUCGAUCUAAAAUUACCGCUCAUCCUGUUUAAAAUAUUAAUUUGAAUCAAGGCUGAGGAAGAAAAGUGAAUUAUUAUAUCUUUUUACUAAAAAGAUAUGUGGAGGUGCCCUGUAGGAGUUAAGGAGUAGAUUUGGGUAGAAUUUUUUUAUUAUAUUCCAAAGAUAACAAGAAAGAUAACAAUCAGCAGAACUCCAAACGUUUAUUACCUCAAUUUUUAAGCACCUAAAAAUCGAUUUACGACAUACCAAUGUCCCAAAUAACCAUGUACUUGCACACAGUUAAUCUCAUUCACAGCACCAAUCAACAAAAUCACUCACAAACAACUGCACAUUCCCUCAACAUUCUAAUGAACCUAAAAAAAGAGACGCUACUAUCCACCAUUCCGAAUUCCACAUCAACACAAAUGCUUAACAAUGUCGCUCUUUGUUUUGCUCUAAUCAUAUAUGUGAAUCACUAAACUAAUUUACUAACUGAUCUAGACUACAUGAAACUUAAUAACGACACACCACACGUAAAUCAUACACAAAAUCAAUAGGCAUCGAAAAUAUCCACAAUAUUUCAGCAACCAUAGAUUAAAACUUGCAUAAUCCAAACCACAAUGAAGUCACACAAACAACAACCAUAAAUAUAUUCAUCAUAAACCAAUCCACAAUAUCAAUACCGCAUAAAAACCCUAAAUUCCCAAAUUCGAAACCCUAGAAUGACAUAUCGAAAUCAAAAUCAGAGGAUUACACCACCUGGCGAGCGACGAGUAGGUGAGCAAGUAGAGCAGGUGGAGCCGGUGGAGCAAGCGAGCAUGAGAGGGAGAGGGCAACCAGGAGAGGGAGACCGGGAGAGGGAGAGGGCGACCGGGAGCGCGGUGAAAGCUCGCGGAGGCGGAGGUGGACCGGGCUUUAGGGUUUUUUCGUCGCUCUGUGGAGGCUGUCGAGCGCUGGGUUUUCUACGGUCCCGAUACCUUUAGCCGACAAAAUACUUACUUCGUUGGUUAACAUUUGAAAUUCGUCGGCUAAAAUUUGAAAUUCGUCGGCUAACCUUGAAUUUCGUCGGCUAAACCUAUGAAAUUCAUCAGCUUAAUCUUGAAAUUCGUCGGCUAACCCUUGAAAUUCGUCGGCUUACUUUUUAUACAUUCGGCACAUUGUGAUUGUGAUGAUCAAACUUGAGAAACGAAAAUCCGACCGUCAGAUCUGACCAUCAUGAUAAAAUACAUGUAUAGGAAAAAAUUCAACUUGAUCGGACAAGGUUAAGGGCUCGAUCCGGAAGGUUAAUCUGUUAAGUCAAACCCCUAAACUCACAGAACAGGUCAUUGGACCGUCUAAAUUACGUAUUUUGGCCGGAUUUUCAACUGAAAAUAGUUUCAAACCGAUGAGACGCAACAAGUCGUAUAAAAAUUUUACGGAAAAUAACCACCGAAGAUAAGGCUACCCAUAGGGAGAAAGAAUGGAAAAUUGCAUUGACCGCAACUAUCGUCACAUAGACUUUACCGGAAUACCGUGAUUUUUCAACCGUAGACGUAUUUCACCAUUCUAGUCAUAUCUUAUUUCACGACUUUUUUGCGUUUAAAGGAUCUACGUAUAGUUUGUUUUUAAAAUGGAACAUUUACUAAACACUUGGUAAACAAGUUAUACAACAUUAGUAGGCAUGUCGUGGUUGUGAUGAUCAAACUUGAGAAACGAAAAUCCCACCGUCAGAUCUGACCAUCAUGAUAAAAUACAUGUAUGGGAAAAAAUUCAACUUGAUCCGAUGAGGUUAAGGGCUCGAUCCGGACGGUCAAUCCCGUAAGUCAAACCCCUAAACACACGGAAAAGGUCAUUGGACCGUCUAAAUUACGUAUCUUGGCCGGAUCUUCAACUGAAAAUAGUUUCAAAUCGAUGAGACGCAACAAGUCGUAUAUUAGGAUAUUCGUCGGCUAAGGUUUAGGGUUUAGGGUUUAGAGUUUAGAGUUUAAGGUUUAGCCGACAAAAUAUUAUGGUAUUUAUCGGCUAACCUCAUCUUAGCCGACGAAUUAUGGUAUAUUUUGUCGGCUAAAGUAUAAAAAAUACAUUAAAAAAAUAGAAGGUUUAAUGUAAACCAUACUAACUUCAUGUUCAUAUAUCACCAAAAUUCAUAUAAAAUAACAGAAAUAUGAAUUCAACAUAUGUAAACUAUAAAGGUAAUACAUUCUUUUUUAUUACAAAUUAAUGUAAUUAUAAUUAAAACUAAGGCUCGUAAUCGGAAUCAUCCGAUGAGUCUUCUUUGGUGUCAGAAUUAAUUUCUGGUAAUCUAUGCAUUUCCUCAUCGCCAGAGUCUUCGUCUGUUUCUUGAUUUGGAUCAACAUUAAUAAGCCUUGGCUCUUCAUCACGAAUUCGCACCGAACGACCCGCUUUAAAAUUAUUAAGGCGAACGGUAGAGGAGUUUGGAAUACCUAUUGCGCUGGGCUCUUAAUACGCAACAUUUUCUUCCUCGUCUUCGGCCUCUUCAAGUGCAGCCGCCCGGUAAAUGUUACGAGGGUGUACAUGGUUGACUACUUUCCACGCGUCACCCUUAGCAAGGUCAUCAAGAUAAAACACUUAUUUUACCGAUGUGGUAAAAACGAACGGGUCAUCUUCGUAACAAUUUGUAGCAGUAUUCACCGAUAAUAUUCCGUACUGAUCGGUCUUUAUGCUCUGCGGCCUAGUAUCAAACUAUCUACACUUGAAGAGGUGCACUGUCAUGCCUUGCCCAUAAACGAGUUCCACCACUGAAUGGAGAACACCGUAAUAGUCAACUCUAUUCCGCCCUCCAUGCGCCAUCACCCCAGAAUUCUGUGUUCUCCGUCUGCUGUCUCUCUGUUCACAUAUAAAUUGCACGCCAUUCACCUUGCACAUCAGAUAAACUCUUGACAUUAUCGGCAUCAUCGCUAGAAGUCUUAGUUCGUGAGACCAAUUUGGGUGACCAUCAAAUUGAAUAUGGUUCAUCUGCAACCAAACAUUCAACUGUAAAUAUGGAUAGUUAUGCAAUAAACAUAAAUACGUACAGAAAUAUUGAAUUACAUACCCAGCCGCCAAAAUAGUUUGCGAACUCCCUGUUGUGGUACUCAAGAUCAUCUUGAAUGUCUGGACAAUAUAGAUGGAUGUCUUUCCAGUAUUCAACUUCUGGACAGUUAAUCAAUACCCACCAGUGGGUAAUGACUAGCUCAUGUGGUUGCAACUUGUAGGAGUCUGGCAAAACUCCAUAAACUUCAACAUCACUAGAGAGUAUGGAAAGGUUGAACCCGUCAGAUGAGAGCCCGAGCCUCACAUUUCGGAUCUCUGACGCAAAAUGAGGAAACUCCCUGUCUAUAUGCUUCCAAGCCUCCCCGUCAGCAGGGAGUAUAAGGGUAUCUUCAUCAUGCAAUUCCCUAUCAGCGUGCCAUCUCAUAGCUUCGGCCGUGUGUGAAGACAUGUACAACCGCUCCAGCCUAUCCCUCAACGGGAAAUACUGAAGUACCUUCACAGGUUUCCUAUUGCCUGCAGGAGUCAGCUUAUAGCUGUCAGUGUGACAUACCGGACAUGCGUCAAGGCCACCAAGGUCAUUCCCUUCUGGAUCUUUACCCUAGAAGAGAACGCAGUCAUAUCUGCAUGCAUGGAUCUUGAUGUAGGAAAGCCUAAGAUCUUUCAGGAUACAUCGGACCUUAUGAUGAGUGGUAGGAAGACGAUGACCGUGAGACAGUAUCGAAGCAGUGUACUGUAGAUAAUCAUCAACAGCCUUCACGGUCGAUUUGUCUCAACUUUAAUCUUCAUUAUGUCCAUCACAUUUUCAAGAACUGUCUUCUGAUAACCGGGGUACACAAGGGUCUGUUGGAAAGCAAGCAGUUUGUUGUACUUGUCAAUACCAGCAGUGUUGACAACUCUAGGGAAGGGCUGCAUCGGCUCAGGCAUAUACUGUCCUUGAGCGCCUACACCGCUCUCAUAAGAAAACAUGUCGUUGAUGAAGGCCGUUGUUGGAUCGUUGGAUGUACUGCCCGUCUCAGAAAAUUGCUCAUGAUCAUGCGGACCCCCUGAUGAUGUUUCACCGUGAUAUAACCAACAUGUGUACUUCUCCCAAAACCCGUUACUCUUCAGGUGCUGCCAUACUUUGUUAAUCGCAAAUCGAUGCAUAUGGCUGCGACACUGACAUUUCGUGCACGGGCAAUAGAAAAUUGUAUUCCCGUUAGCAUUAGCCAGCGCAUAUUCCAUAAAACUCAUAACUCAUUUACCAUAUCUUUUGUCCCAUUUUGGAAGCGAAAUCGAACUCUUAUCCAUAUCCAGAAAAUAUAACAAAAUAUAUAUGUAUAACUCUAGCUAAUUAUUAAUUAAAUUCCAUAUAUAAAAUUUCAAUUCAUUUAGUAUUCUACGUACUACAACUAAUUAAUAACAAAUUAAUUAACACAUAUAUAUACUUAAUAAUUACAUAACAAUAUUAUAUAUCAACAUCAUCAUCAACUCAUAUCAUCAACAACUUCAUACCGUCAACACAAUAUUAUAAAUUAAUUAACAUAUAUAUAUGUACUACUUAUUAACAACAACUUCAUAUAUAUUAUCAAAUCAUCAACCAAAUCGAUCAACUCAAUCACACCCAAAAUCGAUCAACUCAAAUAAAACUCAAAAUCAACAUAAAUACACAUGUAUGUACCUAUAUAUAGCUCCACAAACUAAUUAUGGACAGAUUUCGACAACACCCAAACUUUUUCUCCCAUUUUUUCUUCUCCCGUUUUUUUUUCCCAGAUGAGCUGCUGUCCAGAUCUGCAAAUAUAAGGCACUUUAGCCGACGAUAUUUUAAGUUCGUCAACUAAAUAAUUUUAAAGUCGUCGGCUAAAGUUCACAUACUAUAGCCGACGAAAAAAAUUCUUUAAGCCGGCGAAAAUUUAAUUUCGUCGGCUAUGGUCCACUUUAACCGACGAAAAAAUAGUUCGUCGGCCUGGUUUUUUUAUUUUCGUCAGCUAAAGCCUUUUUCCUGGUAGUGACAUAAAAUAUAAGAAAAUAUAAUGAUCGAUAAAUUUAUUAAAAUAAUUAUGAAGUUGUAUAACUUUUUCUUUCCGUUGUUAUAUGCAUGUGAUAUUGUGUUCACCAGAUCAGCCACCACACUGUUGGAUGUAGAUCUAAUACUGAGGAGAAUAAUAAUUAUGGGUUGUUUUGUUUCUCGCAGUUAGAUCGAUUUACAUUCAUUAACGGUUGAGUAUUAUUUUGUUAGUUAAUAACUGUUCGGGUGAAUAUAUUUUCAUGGACACCUAAUUGAUCAUGGAAGAAAUUAGGAAUCUUCUGAGUCAGUGACACCACACACCUGAUAUCUUUUUAAUCGAGAGCAACGAUUGAUCACAAACAUAAUACUUCAAGUGAACAUUGAAUAACUAAUUAUAUUAAAUUAUAAAUUAAUCCAGUGAUUCAGAAACAUGCCAACUUGAACAAAUUGCGCUCUAAACUAUUAUGCUUAUUAUACUAUAGAAUGUGGUAUGGUUUGAUGCAAGAAGUUGAGAACAAUGUAACGUACUAUCUCAAUGUAACGUACAGAUAGUACAUAACUAAUCUUGUUCCAAAAGUAUAUAUAUUCUGGACCUAUGGUCCAUAAGAAUACAACUUGACCAAUAAAGCGUGACUUUACCUUCUAGCUACUCCAUCGGCAAAGAGGAAGUCAGGAAGAUGCCACUCUAGUUUGGCAUUGGGUUUGAAAAGGGAAUCACUACUGGAAAAUAGCACUUAAACGACGGAAUUAAAAAAUUUCGUCUCUUUAGUGGUAUUUAAGCGACGAAAUUUUCUAUUUAAGAGACGAAACAGUUUCUGUCUCUUAAAUUGUUCUUAGGAGACGAAAUAUUUUGAUUUCGUCUCCUAAGAACGACUUGGGAGACGGAAUGCUUAAGUACUACUUAGAGACGGAAUAUUUUUACUUAGACAACGGCAUUUUAAAAAAAUAAAAAUUUAUAUGAAUCACUUAGGAGACGGAACUACAUUUCGUAACACCACCAUAAAGUUUUGCCCCUCAGCCCUGUCGACAGAGGUGACGAUGCACCACGAGCCUCCACCCCCCAAAAACAACAUCGGAGGUCAAAAGUUUUUGAAAGACAAGGUUGAGAACUCCAUCGAAGAAAGCAGACGGGUCUCACAGAGAAUAGGAUGAAAGAUGGAGACCGGAAUGAGAAGAGAGGUAUCCACCAGUCCGAGUCGCAAUCAAGAAAAUCUGGGGCUAGUCUCGUCGUUUCAUAGAGAACCUCUGAUCUCAUUUAAUUAAAACAUUCUAGCUAGACUACUUCUAACGCCUUCACCUUUGUAAUGAGAAACAUCUCCAUUUACCAUAUAAUAGUGAAUUACGGAUUAACGUUGUAUUUUGGAAGUCCUACUUGAGUAUGUUGUAUGUUAUAUUGAAUAUUUUUUUAAUGAGGACGCUGUCAAGCUCCAAUGACGUAUUGCUAAAUUAAAAUUUUAAUAUAAAUAUUACAGUUUAUUGUAGUUUAUCAUUAAAGGGGGAUGAAAUAUCAAUGACAUUAUACAAUAUGUCACACGUACGUACUGUUCUAUUUUAAUCAUAAUGGUUUGAAUUAUUUGUUUCCCAAGAUUGGUCAUGUGAAGAAGCACACACAAACAUGCGGUUGGGAAGCAAAUAGUAAAUAUAGGAUUGAUUUUUUUUUUUUUUUUAAUCAAAAGGUCAUACGAUUUAAAUCAGAGCAAGCAGUAUAAAGACGACGUACCCUUGUAGGGUCGUCAGAAAACAUCGUCUUGCAGAAUUGCAAGUCCUAUACUAGAUAAAGCAUAAGCUUUGAAAUCCUAAGUACACCCACCUUAUAGCAAUUAAGCACAAUUAUUUUACAGGUAAAACUAGGUUUCGGAGAAAACUAUCAAGACUCUUCGAAAAUCACUAGUUACCUGGACCAUAACUUAUUCUAAAUUAGGGGCCAAAGCCCAAAUUCAUCCGCCAGAGCCUAAUCAGAUGAAACCCUAGCUGAUGCAGCCCAAGGCCAAACAAGCCCAACUUCUAGAGAAGCCUUGAGAGAAACCCAAGCAACCUUCAUCUUCUCCCCGCCGUCAUCACCAUCAGAUAGUAGCGGCGCCGUUGGAACAAAAUUUAGAAUCAGAGCCAAAGCACCACCAUCCUCCCUAACAACGGAAAUAUGGUGAAUACCUGGUUCAUGCCCUCUUGCCGAGAUCUGAGACGCAAAGAUCUGAAUUGAGGGCUCCCAACUGCAGCCAAACAAGCCACCACCGAGUGCUCCAAUCCUCUUCAACGUUCCCAUUCCAUCCCAAGCCACAAGUCAAUCGGCCUGUAUUGUUUCCUCCCUUGUAUCAAACCCAAAGGCAAGAACAAAAAGAGAACAACCAAGACCUUUGUUUAGGAGAUUCUGAUGAACAAAGCCGCCAUCACCAUCACAAGUUGGACUCGACAUCCACCACCGCCCAUAUAAGGCACGAUAGAGCCAUCCAUCACUGCCUUUGAUUGGAGAAAAAGAGACUGGAGAAGAGAUCUCUUUCCUCAUCAAAAGAGAAUUAUCGUUGCCCGUCAGUUUGGGAGUUUUGUCGACCGCCGCCGCCGAGUAAAACCCUAGCAGAGCUAGGGAGAGAGACAUCUUAACCCUUGAAGAUGUUGGUUGUAAAUAUAGGUAUUGUAUUUUCGCGUAUCACUUAGAGUAACUUCAACAGAAUCUGUAUAAUAUAUGUAUUAUAUAGAGAAGCCAAAGUCAAAAUCUUGAGAAGUUUUUUGCUCCAACUUUACAGAUUUGUAUUUAUUACAAUAAUAAAAUAUUCUACGUCCCUACUACAUGUAAAGCGAAAAUAAAAGAAACGCUAUUUUUUCUUCUUAAGCUUCUGCUCGCAUUUGAUUAGCAAUGAAGCUAAUAAAACAUUUUUGAUCUAGAGGAGAAAUACUCUUGUUCUUCUCCCCCCACCUAGGAUGCUGGGAAGGGUGGCUCCUGGCCCAAUUAAAAGGGUGAGUGGGGCAGUGACUAGUCAAGAAGGGAUCGGUGCAGCGCGGUGGAUGGCGUUGGUGUGGGGCACGCGGUGGUGGAAGCUUCUAGGCUUCCCAGAUUACAGGUGGUUGUUGGCGGUCCAAAGUUUGUCUAGAUCGAAGACAGAGAGUCCGGUAUGCCUUAGGGAAGUCUGGAUAUGCACAUCGGGGUCGACGGGUUGCUGCAUAUGUUCUUCGGGUUGGACGGUGUGAGAUUGAGAUCAGUGUCUCAAUCGUUUGGUCAAGGAACGGAGCUCAGGCUUCAGAUGGGGACGACAUCGGCCGAUGUGCAACGAUGUAGACUUCGAGUUGGCAAAUGAGCCAAAUCAACCUCUAAGCAUGGGCUUAGGGUUGGUUCGACUUUUUAUUUUACCUUUAGGUCAUUUUCUUUAUCGCAUAAUAAAUUUGGGUAAUUGUACUAAACAAGGCGUCAUUCCGCAUACUCUACAAUGUAGUGUGCAUGAUGACAUUAUCAGUGAUCUGCCCUAGCUUUAAAUCAAGCCAACUUGAUGGCUCUUUAUUUAAAAUCAUUUAGGUCUUUUAAUUCUGUUAACAUUUUAUUUUAUUUAUAAUGUAACCGUCAUGUUUAUUUCGAUUUAAUAAAAGUUUUCUCUUAUACAGUUACGCUCAAGGUUCAAACAUGAUUAAAGUUUGCUCUUAUACGGUUAACUUCAAUUUUGAUGAUUAUGUAGUAACACUGUUUGAAAUUCAUAAUAUUCGAUGAAAAGAAUUCCUUUUCCUAUAAAAGAAAUCAAAUGGAUUAAUCAUGAGUCCAUGACCAUGUUGGAUUAUAUUGGAUUAAUACAAAUCUAAAAACAUGUCCAAAUGUCUAUGUUUAUAAUGUUCUUAAUUUGUAGUUUUGGCUGUCUUUUGGGUAAAGAGACACUGGAAUGUGUGCACCUGCUAGAUUGCAAGUGCCUCAAGCACCCGCCAAGUUAGGUCACCAAGGAGGCGCUAGCAAAGCUAGCACGUGUACGCGUCACACAUCGUUUAGGAAAGACAAGUUGUUGUGUUUUAUAUGCGGAGUCAGCUCAUUACAUUGAGACGCGUUUUGAGGUCAAACCUGACAUUAUGUAAUGUUUCAUCAAGUUUGCUUGAGGUGACCUACACCAAGGUAUAAUCUGGGGCAGAAUACGAAAUGAUUCUAAAACCAGUUAUUUGUAACAAAUCAUUAAUAAUGUCAUCAUGCACACUACUUUAAAGAGUAUGUGGAAUGACGCCUUGCUAUGUACGGUUACCUAAGUUUGCUCUUAUACGGUUACGCUCGAGGUUCAAAGAGCAUUAGUAUCAACAACAAAAAAGAUCAAAGAGCAAAUUGUUUUAUGUGUACAACGAAAGAGAGUCAUCAAUAUUAAUAGAAUACUAUACAAAGCACUUGAUAUUAUUCGAUCCCAAUAAUGAUGUCCCCCAUUUGGCCAAUUUGGGGCCAUAGACACCUUCCAAAGAGAAAUAACAGUAACUUAACUUGUUAGGUUUUACCUUUCACUUCUAGUCUUAAACUCCUGAUCUUAAUUACCAUGCAUGCAUGAAUUAAUAACAUUCCAAUACAUAGAUAAGAGAUCAAUCGAAACCGUUUUAUAGAAGAAAAUAAAAGUGACGAUCUAUUACUAAUUUAGGUCUUCUUUUUGCCGAAUUGAAAAAGUAUCUUCUAAUUAUUGAAAUAAAUUUAGAUUUGUUUAUUAGGAGCCUCUCUCUCUCUCUCUGCUAGGGGUGGUAGAGCGUCGCCUCUGGCCUCUCGGAAAACCUCUCCAUCUUCGAUAGAUACCUCUGCAGUGUCAUCCUAGGCAUCUCUCAUCUUUAAUAUGUGAGCUGCUUUAUCCACAAGGAAAUCAAAGGCCUAUUUUGGGCGGUUGGAGAAGCAACGGCUCGAUAACAAUAUAAGAAGUGGUGGGCAGCUUGACGGUGAUCCACCGGUCUUGGCUGGCUGUGGUUUAACUGAGAGGGACAGAGGCGGAGAGCCCCCAUUCUUGAUUUUUUUUCUUUUUUCAAGUUUGGGUGAAAUUCUAAUGAACAUACAAAACCUAAGUUGCAACAAACAAAAUUAAUAUAAUUAGAUCUGCUCUUCAUAAACAAACUUGGGAUUUGCGAUCCCAAUCCCAAGUAAGAUCGGUUCAGGAUCAUGGGAUCCUUUUUUAUCAAAUAAGGAAGGGUCGUUGCACAAAAUUUACUUCUAAGUAAUUGCUCCAUAGAUCCUAUAUCUAUCUAUAUGAUGAAGAAAUCAUGUAACGAGGGGGUUAUUAUUUGUACAAAUGGUACUUCGAACUUAGAACAAGUAUGAAGAAAUUAACGAUACUUCUUUAUCUUUUGAGUUGUUCUGCCAGAUCAGUCGCUCAAGACCUUUGGUUUCUACCCAAAAAAAACUGGAUUACUUCAUAUGGACUUGUUCAAAAAUGGUAAAACCAUUAGUGCUUUCUCUUUAUAAUUUUUUACUCUUAACAAAAAAAUGUUAGAAGUCUAAAAAUCAUAUCAAACUCAUGCAAACUAAAAACAUUAUGUAUUCAAAUCUAUCUAAAAUAUCUAACUCCCUUUCUUUUUUUUCUUUUGAGAAUGAAAGGAACUUUUAUUCAUCAAGAAAACCAAAUUACAAACUAUGGGAACUAUCAGUGGAAGACUUAGAAGUCCCACUUGUUUCCCUACUACUACAUAUAGUUACGGGUCUAUCACCAUUGAUGACAUCCAUGAGCCAAUCGGGCCCAACCCCUAACCAGAAAUGAUGCCCCUCUAACCGGGAUACUCUAGUUGCCCUAGAAUGUGCCACACAAUUCGCACCUCUUGGAACAUAACAAAUCUCCUGCAGACCAAUACUAGUUAACAAAGAUGAUUUUUUCAACCAAAUAUCUAACUCCCCUUGAUGCAAGCAUACCAACUGAAAAAUCUCUUUGUCAAAGAGGUUGAAACCGAUGACAUCACUUCCUUCUGUUCUACCUUGUCCUCCUUCUUAGGCUCAACAGGUUACACAACACCACCACCACGAUAUGCAUGUAGAGGCACCCACAGCCACCUCGCCCCCGUCAGAGAGCAUGCAUAAAUGCUGAGUCAUCCCUUCCAGGUGCAAUGAUCUCAGUGAUGUAUAUAUACUUUUUCAAAUAAGGACCUAUCUACCUUAGUUAAGGUACGGAUUUUCUUAAUUUGACCAACUUUCUGAUCAUAUUUUCUCAUCAUAGUCGUUCACUAUUUAGAUAUACAUGACUUGAUCAUUUAUAAAAAAUUUCAGCUAAUUUGGUUAUCGUUAAGGUAUCGAAAAUGUAUUAAAUCAAUGAAUGAACCGAAUCUGUUCAUCCUGAAUCAUACGUUCUAUUAGUUCUAAAUCAUAGUUUUAAAUGCCUUAAUGAUUAUCAAUUUGGCUGAAAAUUUAUUGAGAUGAUCUACUCAUAUAUACCUAAAUUUUGAACGGUUGAGAUGAGAAAAUAUGAUCGAAAAGUGGGUCAAAUAAUGAAAUCCGUACUUUAUCCAAGGUAAGGAGGUCCUUACCUGAUAAGCAUUAUAUAUAUAUAUAUAUAUAGAUAUAGAUAUUAGCAUGUCCAAAUAUCCGUAUUUAUUCAAAAGGUAUGGAUUUUCUUAAUUGACCCACUUUUAGAUCAUAUUUUCUCAUCUUAACCAUUCACAUUGUAGGUAUAUAUGAGUAGAUCAUCUCUACAAAUUUUCAGCCAAAUUGAUAAUCUUAAGGUAUUGAAACUAUAUGAUUACAAUGAACAAACCAAAUCUGUUCAACAUGAACCGUUCGUGUAAUUCACAAUUUUGAAUACCUUAAUGAUUAUCAAUUUGGCUAAAAUUUUGUAGAGAUGAUCUACUCAUAUAUACCUAAAAGAUGAAUGAUUGAGAUGAGAAAAUAUGAUCGAAAAGUAUGUCAAUUAAGAAAAUCCGUACCUUUUGAAUAAAUACGGAGGUCCGUAUCUGAAAAGACUUAUACACACACACAAUUAUUAUCAUGUCCAAAUAUUCUUAUUUAUUCAAAAGCUACGGAUUUUCUUAAUUGACUCAUUUGUAGAUCAUAUUUUCUCAUCUUAACCGUUUACAUUGUAGGUAUAUGUGAGUAGAUCAUCUCUACAAAUUUUCAACCAAAUUGAUAAUCGUUAAGGCAUUCAAAGAUGUGAUUUGGAACUAAAAAUAUGAACGGUUCAGGUUGAACAGUUUGAUUUAAUUCAUUACCGAUACCUUAACGAUCUCUAAAUUGACUGAAAAUUUGUAGAGAUGAUCUACUCAUAUAUACCUAUAAUGUAAACGGUUAAGAUGAGAAAAUAUUAUUGAAAAGUGGGUAAAAUUAAGAAAAUCCGUACCUUUUGAAUAAAUAAGGAUGUUUGAAUCUUAAAAGGCUUGUGUGUGUGUGUGUCCAUUCCCUUGAGUUUCGACAACCAAAACUAAAUCUUAUUGCUCUUGGCCUCAGCUCCAAUGGAGGCAAGAAUGGUCUUCAAGUUCUUGGCAAGGGACAAAGUUGCCGCCCAAAACAACGAGCCUAUACACGACAACCGAAAAUUCUUCUAUGCACCAAGGUGCAAGUGAACCUAGUAACUAAUAUGCAGUAUUUUGAUCCGGUUAUCUACGUCGCACUACAUGCAUAUAUACUAAUAUCGUUAACAUAAUUGAAACCCAAAAAAAUAGUCUCAAGUGUUUCCAACUAAGAAGAUGAGAACACAAGGUCGAAGAAGAUAUACUAUUAUUAUGGGCGUUGAAUUUGAUCGAAUCAAAAUUGAAAUUGAAAGAAAGGAACUUAGGGUCUCUAGUAUUCAUUCAAUCUUCUCAUACGGCGAUUUGAGCACUUAAACAUUAAUGGUGUAAAUGUAUCUUAGUGCGUAGAAUCUGCUUCCCACGACAACAACCUUCAUCGUUACUCUCUAAAGCUAGGGAUCAUACACGUGCGGUGGUAGAUGGAGGCUCGAUAAAGGAUUUUUAUUGUCCAUACAAAAAUGGAGAGCUUGACAAAGCUUUUUAUUGUCCCUAACAAAACGAAAAUUGUAAAUAAUUUUGCUUUAUGUGAUUUUUUUUAUCGAAUAAUAAUAUUCCUUUUCAAAAGAUAUACACAUGUCUAAAUGGAGAAAUUCUUCCAUACAACAUCCUUACCAUGUGGCUUGUGUGACCACCAAAUCGCAGAGUGACACGUGGCACUUUUUUGUCUACUUCAGCAAUGGUUUUUCUUCUUGGGAAAAUGCCCAUUUAGUCAAAAACAAUAAACACAAACCCCAUUCCAAUGAAAAUCUUUUGUCAUUUAGUCAAAAAGAAUAAACACAAACCCCAUUCCAAUGAAAAUCUUUUGUCCAAGCCCAUUCUAAUGAAUUUAAAAAAUAAGACGUUUAUAUCCUUAGUAAUCAAAUACACCAUAUCUCUCUCCCUCUCUCUUUUCCCGUCCCUCACUCUUCUCCAGAUCUAAAACUCUCUCUCUCAUCCCUCAGAUCAAGAAGCCUCUUGCUGGUCUCGUCGCUGGCAGCGUUGGCACAGCGGUAGGAAACCCGGCCGAUGCGGCUCUGUUCCCCUAGGUAUUGUCCUCCUCCUCAAUCCUUCGCCGACAGCGUCUGACGGAACUCUUCGAUUUGGGAUCGAUCUGUUGAUAGCGUUUCCGUUUAGAGUGACAACCUCACUCUCCGCCUAGUCCGCCACCAUCGUCAAGUCUCCCACCGGACAUCCCUCCUCUUUUGGCUACGACAUCGUCUGUGUCUUUUUUCUUUUCUUUUUUGGUUGCGUCCUUCUUUUUUUUUGUUGCGUUUUGGUAUGAAUUGUUGAGUUUUGGUAUGAAUUGUUGAGCCUGAAGUUUUGCAUUUGACUAUUACAUUGCGUUUAGUUCAUCACAUAUGCAAAUAGUUAGCAUGAACGGCAAAUAGUUAAACUUCUUUUUUCAUUUUUUUUCUUUCAUUGCAUUUUGAUUAGUUUCUCUAUUAAUAAGCUUUGUUUGGGGUCAGCAACUCAGGCCAAUCUUGAUUAUUGGGGGUUAUUGUAGAUUAUUGGGGUCAGUAACCUUUUUAAGGAAUCUAUAACUCGGUUAUUAGGGGUCGGUACCUCAGUUAUUGGGGGUCAGUAACUGAUUAUUGGAGGUCAGUAACCAAUUUAUUAGGGGUCAGUAACUGAUUAUUGAGGUUCAGUAACUAAUUUAUUGGGGGUCAAUACUGAUUAUUAAGGGUCAGUAACCAAGUUAUUGGGGGUCAGUAACCGAGUUACCGGUGACCGAAAUCCGACGACCAGAGAAAAUCUGAGUUACUAGGGGUCAAUAACUGGUGACCGAAGAAAUUCGGGCGAUCGGUGACCGGAGUCCGGCGACUAGUGACUGGAGUCCGGUGAGGUUCCCGGCAGAGUCUUCUCACUUUUUCACUUUCUCUCUCCUUAUAUAUGUUGAAGUGGUGAGGGUAAAAUUGUCUUAAAAAUAUACAAAAAUUAUUAUUUUAUUAUGUCUUUAAUAUAGAUUUGUAUAUUUAGGCAUAAAUAAGAACACCUUAUAUUGGAAUGGGCUCAUGUCUAUUAAAUUCAUUGGAAUGAGCAAUAAAAGGUUUAAAUUAGUACUAAAUUGACAUUUUCCAUUUUUUCUUUCUUUUUUCUUCUCUUGCGAAAUACUUCACUGUGUUUCUUUUCAUCUCUCUUCCUCUUCGUUUCCACUUUUCAAACUAUCUCUCCUCUCUAAUAAUCGAUCUGCAACACAACAAAUCAAGAAGUUGAAUAUCACCCUUAUCACGUCAUAAGCCAGAACAGACAGACCGCACACACUACCAGGACAAGCAUUUUAGCCGACGAAAAAUUUUCGUCGGCCUGUCAGCUUAAUUCGUCGGCUAAGAUCUUAGCCGACGACCUUUCGUCGGCUAAGAUUUCUUCGGGAAAAGGUCGUCUAUGGUGACUUUAGCCGACGACACAUGUAGAAGUCGUCGGCUAUAGUCCAGAGUUUAGCCGACGAAAAAAAUGUCGUCGGCUAUAGUCCAAACUUUAGCCGACGAAAC
rnacentral:lncRNA from 1 species